UUGGAGGAGAGGGAUAUGUGCUCUUAACCACUUAAGUCACAAACUCCUUACAUAAGUAUUUGACUACGUAAAAUAAAGUUUACUGAGAAUGGUAACCAUGCGAAAGGGAUUCAAGAAAUCCAUCUAAGCUGGUGAGGUUCUUGCUCUUUAGAAAAUGGGAGUACCAAUGAGCAGAGAGUUUGGGUUGUCUUUUUAAAUCAGGGUCGUCCAAAUCGAUGUAGUAUAGGCCAAAGCUUGAUUCAUAGCCGUUCAAUAGCUCAAGGGAGUCCAUGAAGGACCAUAUAAAAUAGCCUCUGGCAUUUGAUCCAUUCCUUCCAAAAGUAAAGAUUUCAUAGCAUCCGUCAGUGAUUAAGAACAAGUACUAGUUAGCUGUCAAACUAAGGUAUAAAACAAGAAAAACCACUUAAGAAAAAAGCAAAUAAAGAUGAUAUCAGAUAGUUAAAGACUUCAUAAGUGGUGAACGGUUAUAGCCCAGUGAAAAAGACCUUGACUAAUGUGUGUGAGAAAUCCUUCAUCGCUUUAUAGUUUAGACUAUCACUUGUAUAAAAAUAAAAUAAAGACUUCACAAGUGAAACAUAUCUUGCCAAUUCUCACUUUGCCUAUUUAAACAACAAUUUGGGUCAUGGUCUUUUUUCACUGGGUUAGGAGAUGAAGGAUUGCAUGCAGUUUGUGACUCUUGGGUCAAGGUCAUAUGACUCUUGGGUUAAAUUAUAAAGACCUUGACCCAGUUUGUUAUUCAAUUUUGUUCAUGGAAUUAAUUAUUAGUUACAAGAGAAUAAGAUAAGUCAUAUGACUCUUGGGUUAAAUUAUAACUGGCAGAUAAUAGGUAUACCUUACAGCUGCAAGCAAACUUUGGAUAUGUCCACGCAAAUAUUUUACCCUCGACCUAUCCUCCAAUGAUGAAUUGCGUGCAGUUUGUUGACCUAAAAUAUAUAGGAUGCCAAUACUUUUCCAUUUAGAUAAUGAGAUAGAUGAAAAGAAUAUAAACAUGAAAAGCUAUAAUGCCACUACUUCAUUAUAAUAGCCAAAAUUAAGUCUUUGUACUCUAUAAUUUUCAAUUAGGUUAUAACAUUAUCAUCUAAAUAUAUGACUUUAUUACAAAAAGAAGAGCGAAACUAAAAGUACCACUAAACUAAAUUGCAAAUUGUUCCAACACUGUAUAUUCAAAUACAUGCAUUAUAGCACUACUUCGAUUAAAUUUCAGCAUUUAGAUAGAGAGAGGGAUAUACCAUUUUCAUGGAUAUAUAUAGGGGGAUUGCCAUAAUUUUGCUUCAUAUAUUCCAACAGUCUUUGCAGGCCCCAGGGAGCUAUUGGAUACUACAUCAAACAAAUGCAUUAGUAAUGCUUGAAAUUAACUCCAUAAAUGGUUAAAUGACACUAACUUAACCCCACAUCGAAAAUUUGAAAAAAUAAAUACAAUAUAUAAUGAAUGAUACCACUCCUAAUAACACCGAGGUUUUUUGAUAAAACAACACACCUACUGGAAUUUGUAAGUGGUUAAGUUGUGAAUAAUAUCGGUGUUGCUAGUAGUGGGUCGAUAACCCAUCUCUCUAAAGUUAACAAGUUGUUAUGUUCAAAGUUUUACCUCGAAUGAUGAUUCAUUACAUUUCAGAACUGCACAAAUAAACUUUGUAAGUUAAAUCAAUAAUUAUAUCAUGUCUUAACCAAGACAAAACUUGCCCCAUAGUGACCAAUGCGCACACUAAAGCAGUACAAAAAAGAUGUAAUAGAUGAAUCAUGUAACAAAAACCAAUAAUUUUGCGAAUAUUUAAUUAAUCUCGGGGGAAACCUUGAAGCCAAUAAUUCAAAACUUCAGUUUUUUUUUUUUCUUUUUUUAACAUGCAAUAGAUAUUUACCAAUAUAUUUUCACAGAGGCUGGGCUAAUACAUCCACAAAGUUAUGCUUCCUACCAUAAUGGGAUUAGCCGCAACUAGACUGUUAAAGAUUGGCUCACCAUAGAUGCAGGAGGAAGAGGAAUCGUACAAUCCCGACAACUGGUCGUCACGUGAAUAGUGUCACGCGCUGUUUUUGGCAUUUUGGCAUGUUUUGAUGUGGUUUCCUAUUAUUUUGGGGUUUUCUAGUACAAGUUAAUAGGGUUUUAGUUUCCUAUUCCUAGUAAACUUGUAACCCAAGUCCUAUGAGUUAUAAAUAAAACUGUUAGGGCUAGGUUAAUUUAAGAGAGGAGAAUUCAAGAGUGAAUUUUGAAGAGAGAAACACAAGAUUGAAUUCAAGGGUGAAUUCUUGAGUAUUUACAAGGGCAUCAAAGGGUUUGAACAAGGGUGUGAGAGAAAUUAAGACCUAGAGUUUGAGGUGAUAGAAAGCUAAGGGGAUUCUUGUUGUAACCAAAGUUCUUCCUGUUCUUCUAGUGAAAUUUCUGGAGGGGGUCACCGAAGAGAACGUAGGCAUGAGGCCGAACCUCUAUAAAUCUUUUUGUUCCUGUGUGUUUGCUUACUCUCUUUGUGGUGUGUGUUUGUGUUUUAUUCUCAAAUGGUUUGUGUGUGUGUCAUCGCAUAGUCCAUCAAUGACAAAGUCUUGGAGUGUUUCCGCACUACAAGUGGUAUCAAAGCUGCGGUUCGUGGCACGCUCUUAUAGUUUUAAGAGUGUUUGCAAGUGUUGAUGAUGGCGGCCGACAAGAAUGCGGUGGGAGAAACCUCCUAAAUGAAGACACCACAAACGAAUAGCAUGAAGCUCGAGGUGAAGACAUUCACAAGGAAGGAGAACUUCACACUAUGGCAAAAAAUAAUGAAACAUGACCUAGCCCAUCAAGGUCCAACUAUUAUCUUGGCAGGCGAGGAGACAAGACCUAAAACCAUGACAAUGAAGGAGAGGGACAUGCUCGGCAAGUUGGCUAGGAGGUCCAUCAAGGUGAUGGAAGACACCGCAAAGCAAACAUAGGAAAAGCUCAAAUGGAUAUUUGAAAGAAAGUCCCUAUCAAACAAACACUUCAUGAAGGAAGCGCUCCUAAAUGUUCACAUGGAGGAGGGUGGAAAUCUCAUGGAGCAUCGUAACACCUUUAAUAGGUGUAUUGAGGACUUGUAAAAGGUUGAUGUGGUUUAUAGCAUGGAGGAUGAGGCGUUGAUGUUGUUGGCAUCGUUGCCUCCGUUCUUUGAACAUUUUCGGGGGGCGUUGAUGAUCGACAAGAGUACUCUCAAUUUUAAGGAGGUGGUGCAAGACUUCGUGCAUCACGGGUUGGCUCAAAGUUCUGGAGAUAGCUCUCAAGGUGCGAGUCUAUUAACAUGGACCGGAGAAUGGUGUCGUUCAAGCAAGCACAAGGGUAAGAAAGGCAAUGGGAGGAAUCCGAAAUUUAAGGAAAAUGAAGUGUUCUUAAAGUGUGGGUCUACGGACUAUUGGAAACAGAAUUUUUUGAUAUGGAAGGAGAAACAUAAUAAGAUGAAGAAUGCUAAAGGUUCAAGUAAGAAUGCUAAAGGUUCAAGUACAGCAAAUGAUGAACUUUUGACAGUUACGGAUGAGAAGCGUAACAAGGAAGUAGUGGCAAAUUCUUCGGGUAAGAGUUCUACUUUGGUUUAGAUUUUAGAUUCUAGAAUCUCAUUUCAUGUGUUCUCAAAUAGGAUGGAGUUUGACACAUACGAUGAAAGGAAAGGUAACAAGAUUCUAUUGGGAGACAAAAAAAGUUGUCAUGUUUUGGGCAUGGGAACAAUGAAGAUCAAGAUGCAAGAUAGUGUUGUUAGAAGCCUUAGUGAGGUAAGGCAUGUACCGACACUAAGAAGGAAUCUUAUUUCUCUUGGUUCCUUAGAUAGAAAAGGGUAUUCGUACAAGGUCAAAGAAGGAAAGCUCUUAGUCACACAAGAUUUGGUUGUGGUUAAGAGAGGGAAGAUUCAACCUAGUAUGAGGGGGAAGAUUCAACCUAAUAACGGUUAUUAAUUUUUGGGGGGGUACAAUAACAGGUAGAGUAGUAAAUUUUACCGAGGAGGAGUUUUGUACCAAGAAAAAAUGGGCAAAAGAUCUUAUUGUCAAGGAGCCUGUGCAAAAAAAAGAAGCUAAAGACUAGAAUGGCAAGGAAGGUUAAUUAAGGUUGUAUGAUUAACAGUUUAUCAUCAAGAGUACUUGAUUUCAUAGGUGUAAAAGUGGCGGUAUAAGAGGACAAGGCCCACAAGGGUGAAGUCGAGACAAGGGAUGAUGUGGAGAAUAUUGUUGGGUCGAUGGAAACUGAAAAGAUACUUCUUACCAAGGUGAUCAUAGAAGGGACUCUAAGACGGAUAGAGCUUGACACAAGGGUUGAAGAAGAUAGGCAUGAACAACAAACUCACAAAGGGGUUCUACUUGAGGUGCAGCCUUCACCACAAGCAAGGUCUGAGCCCAAAGAAGCCAUCAAACUGCCCCAAGGGUUUGGAUAGAAGGACAAGGUAGAUUCAACUACGUUUUCAGAGUGCUUUCGGGAGCAUGAAGCGAGAAAGUUAAACGGGUGCUUGGAUGAAAAGGAAUGAGCUAGUUCAUAAAUUCAAGAGCAAAGUUGGUGGUUGCAUGAGGAUUUAUAGAACAAGGGUUGAUAUGCAGUUUGCAUGUCAAGGUGUAUCAAGAAGGCAAGAAGAAAGAAGUUCGGCAUGAGGGAUCUCUAUUCCACACAAGAGGUCUGGGUUGCCAAAGUUUAGCUUAGGUGGAGCACCUCCUCACCUGAGGUGCAUUAAGGCAAGAGGUUUGUUGCCAUGGUGGACCUCUUAGGAAUAACUAGAACGGUUUCUAAGAGGUUAAAAAGGUUCUAGGAGUUAACCAUUGUUCAUGGCUGAUUGAUGGUUUGCCAGGGUAGAGAUUGUCGAAGAUUGGCUCAUCAUAUAUGCAGGAGGAAAAGGAAACCCAAGGCUCUGCAAGGAUGGAGUAGCAAGGAAGCAACAAUGUAGGUAGCUGGUCACUGUUGGCCAGGUGACUAGUCGAUUUAGGCCGAGAGCUCAAAGUCGAUUUUAUACUCCUUAUCGACCGAUCGUCCAAUCCCGACGGCCGAUCGUCACGUAAAUAGUGACAUGCACUGUUUUGGCGUUUUGGCGUGUUUUGAUAUGGUUUCCUAUUAUUUUGGGGUUGUCUAGCCUAAUUUAAUAAGGUUCUAGUUUCCUAGUAACUUGUAACCCAAGUCCUAUGAGUUAUAAAUAGGACUUUUAGGGCUAGGUUAAUAUAAGAGAGGAAAAUUCAAAAGUGAAUUUUCAAAAGAGAAACACAAGACUAAAUUCAAGGGUGAAUUCUUGGGUGUUUACAAGGGUAUCAAAGGGUUUGAGCAAGGGUGUGAGAGAAAUUAAGACCUAGAGUUGAGAGGAUAGAGAGCUAAACGGGUUCUUGUUGUAACCAAAGUUGUUCCUAUUCUUCUAGUGAAAUUUCUUGAGGGGAUCACCAAAGAGGACAUAGGACGGGGCCAAACCUUGAUAAAUCUUUGUGUUCUUGUAUGUUUGCUUACUCUAUUCAUGGUGUGUGUAUUUUAUUCUCAAGGUGUCUGUGUAUAUGCUGUCGCAUAGUCUAUCAACGACAAGGUCUUGGAGUGUUUCCGCACAAUAUCGACGUUGAACUCUUGAAUUCCUUUUUUAUUUUUCUUUUUUUAAUGAAACAGAGGUAAGGACCCCAAACAAAUAACUCUUCAAUUCCUUCAAACAUAGAACUUCGACAUGUUAUCUAUUGUUGUUAAUUAGCAUGACAUAUUAGUACUGGAGAUUGGUUUGUUUCAGAGAUUGGCCACAUUGUGAUUAUGAAUUUAAAAGCAUUAGAGGUAAAUGAAUCAUUUUGGAUGUUUUUUGUCUCUUACAAUCAUCGUAUACUGGUUCGUGAACAGUUGAUGCAAGAAUUGAUAUUGGAAUGAAAGAUCUUCUAAAUGAUGAGCUAAAAGAAAUUGAAUCCACAUACGUGUAGCAAAAACUAGAUUAAAUUUUUAGGGCUCAAUAUAGUUUGAUAUAUAAAUAUACUUAUAGCAAAAACUUACGUCUCGUCUUCAUUGCUGAGUCAGCAAUAUAGUCUCUGUUUGUACUCUUUAAGCUGAUGGAGUUGUCCUCGGCGUAUGAGACGGUAUAAUAAUUAAAUCCUAUGAAGUCAAACGAACCCUUGACACUUUGAGACUCAAGCCUAGUGAAGAAAGGAAUUCUAGAGCCUGCAUUUGUUUUCACUACAUCAGGGUAAUCUCCAAACACCAAGGGAUUCAAAUACCUGCAACACAAAAUAGACACAAUGAGUUUGCAGUUAAGACAAGUAAAUAAUAAUUGAUAUAUAUAUAACGUGCAGACAUUCGGAACAAAGAAUAACUGUAUAUAUAUAAUAUACAGAAUUCUCUUAUGCGGACGUCCGGACGUUAUUAUCGUGCGGACGCCAUAUAUUUUCUACUAUCCCUCCCUGCUUUUCUCCCUAUUUACAAUGUCAUCUGCACGAUAAUAACGUGCAGACAUCUGGAACAGAGAAUAACUGUAUAUAUAUAAUAUACAGAAAUUCUCUUAUGCGGACGUUCGUACGUUAUUAUCGUGCGGACGCCAUGUAUUUUCUACUAUCCCUCCCUGCUUUUCUCCCUGUUUACAAUAGCAUCUGCACGAUAAUAACGUGCAGACAUCCGGAACAUAGAAUAACUGUAUAUAUAUAAUAUACAGAAAUUCUCUUAUGCGGACGUUCAGACAUUAUUAUCGUGUGGACACCAUGUAUUUUCUACUAUCCCUCCCUGCUUUUCUCCUUGUUUACAAUGGCAUCUGCACGAUAAUAACGUCCGAACGUCCGCAUAAGAGAAUAACUAUAUAUAUAAUAUACAGAAAUUCUCUUAUGCGGACGUUCGGACGUUAUUAUCGUGCGGACGCCAUAUAUUUUCUACUAUCCCUCAUUGCUUUUCUCUCUGUUUACAAUGACAUCUGCACGAUAAUAAUGUGCAGACAUCCAGAAUAGAGAAUAACUACAUAUAUAUAUAUAUUUGUUCGACUGGUUUUACAUAGUAGCUUGAUCAUCCAAACUAUCUAUUUUUUAUGUUCCACUCAAGGAUCACCCUGUACUAAUAAUCUACCAAAUUGGGCUGGAAAAUGACUACAAAAGAGAGAACAGAGAAGUUGCAAGUUUAUGUUAAUUUCAGACUUACCAACCAAAAUAGAAGUCGAGGCCUCUUUGGGUUGCUAGUUCAUCUUCAAUGGUUUUUGUUUGAGGAAAAAACCAAAAGGCAAAAAGGUUGAUUCCUAUAAACCCACGUUGUUUAUCCUGCAUUCCAAAAGUAUUGAUGUUACAAGGAAUAAUCUUUGUCGUAUUAGGUUGGGUUUCUUUUAACUUCUUCAUCAUAGUUUAUAACGGUCUGUAUUGUAUGUUUGAGCUUAUAAUUGUUUAUGCAUUUCCACAUAGUAUAUGUACAUUAGAAGGAGAGGCAUCAAAUUAAUAUUGCAGAGUUUUCUCUGUUUCUACUUCUCAUUUGCUCUCAAUUUCUUAUUUCCUCAACCUAUCUCUAACUAUUCUCUUUGUUAAAAUGCUUUAUGUUCUGAAAUUAAAACUCGAAGACCUAAGUAACAAGUGAAAAUUAGCAGCUGUGACACUUAUUAAUCUGUAUUAUUUCUUGAUUCAAGGACGUAAGGACACCAUUGCAAGAACAACAGUGCUUGAAGCAUUUAACAUGAAUUUGUUUUCUCUUCCAAUUACCUGGUAGUUUUUCUUGUACAAUCUAGCAGCCGACGCAUGAGAUAACAAGAUAUUAUGCGUUGCCAAGUAUGGUUCUGUUGAGGAGUUACCCCUAGAGCAGUUGAGACCAAAUGGAAUUGAACAUCGUUGUGGUGGAGAAAAUCCAGAAUCAUAACCCCCAAGUACAAAAACAUUAGGUUCAUUCAUAGUAGUCCAAUGCAAAACUCUAUCCCCGAAAUUUUUGAAGCACACAUCUGCAUACGCAGUGAAGUCUUUUCUGCAACCACAAAAUUGUUCCAUCAUGAUCUUUCCCCUUUUUCUCCUGAUGCAUUGAAAUUACGCAAAAUAACAAAAAUAGGGUUAAGAAACCAUACACAAUCUUUCGGCUAACCCAUCCUCCAUACUCAUCAUCAAGUGCCUGUGGGAGAUCACUAUGGUGUAAAGUAACAUGUGGUUGGAUUCCUGCUUGAAAAAUAAAGCAAUCAGACAUCAAAUUACAGAAUUGUUAGAUUGGUGGAAGUGGUACAUGUUUCUUAAGGCAUGUUUACUUUAUUAGGAAUGGGUAUUGGAAUUACUCAAUUCAUGUCUUCCCCCGCGUUUACUAACAUAAAAAGCAAUCCAAAAUUAUAUGGGUUGCAUGCUAAACUCGCGAAUAUCCUCAAAAAUAGUAAUUGGAUAAGCUACCUAGUUGAUCUGAUUCCAAUUCCUUAAUUUAGUUCCACGAUUCAUGACUUCCUCCAUUCCCAAGUAAACAUGCCCUAAGAGUAUAACCACUCCACAAAUUCGAAGGAAAAUAUACAAUGUAGUAUCAUAAGAUAGUAACCAUGGCUGAUUAGUUGAUCAAUAAGAUUGUUGUAAUAUUGUAGACCCUUUGGAUUGACAGGUCCUUUUCCAUCUGAAAUAAAGAAAUUGGAUAUUUGAGUGCGUGAAAACUUAAGCGUUGUUUGUUUAAUAUGAGUAACAAUUGGAUGCUCAUGCAUACUUGGGAUAAGUCUUGACCAUGAGAUGGAAAAUCUAUAUGCCUCUAAUCCAGUAUCUGCCAUUAGUUGAACAUCUUCCUGCAACAGUUUGAAUGAACAUGAUAUGAUGUAUGAACAUCAAAUAGCAUCAACAUGUUCCUAAUUAGUUAUUUAGGCAAUAAAUCGUGUGAUUACGUAAUUGUACGGAACAUAUGGUAUGUUAUAUUGCCUCCCAAAAGCUAUAAAAACCUCUUGAAUACUAGCUAGUCUUGAUAUAGUAUGAAUCUCGUGAUUGCAUAAUUGUAACAUACAUGUGAAUAACUACUAGUCCUGAAACCUCUGAACUAAAAGAAAAGAUUAUUAGCAAUAACUAGAUUGAAUUUUACAAAAUAUAUACCUUAUACUUGUGAUACGCGUCACACGCUACAUCUCCAGUGGCUCCAUGAAAAUGACCUGAAAGAUUGAGUUAAGCAAUGACCUAACAGGGAUCAUAUACACGCAAGUUAUCAUGUUAGUUUGAAAAAUCCACUUUAUCUAAAUGUUUGAUUAGUCGAUUAUAUUAUUAAUAUGGAUUAAUUUUAUUUAAUCCACUUUAUCUAAAUAUUCUAAUUUUCUAGUCAAUAUAUUUUGGUAGGACUUGUAUGUAACCACCUAGAAUAGGAAUGGAACAAGGUACCAAAAUAACCCACAUUGAAAACACUAGAAAGGGUACUGGGAGGAAACCAGUACUUAUAAGCUCACACUACUAAUUAACAAUUAGAAGUGGUUGGACAUCUCAAAUUUUUUCAGAUGAAGUCUGCAGAGGAUGGAUCUUCUUUAUUCUUGGAAUAGUUAUGUACUAGAGAAUCACAAAGAAAAACAUGUUUGUUUCGCUAAUUGUGAGGGCAAAAGAUUUUGAUUUCCCUCUAUAUUGUUGUCAAAAAGAUUUCAGCCUUAGUUGUCCUUCGCCAGUGAGAGCAGACCUUUUUUUAUUCUCCUCAGUACAAGCGAUAAUCUAGACUACAGGAGGAGGAGGAUUUCUCAUACACACAACCAAGAUGCCAUGAAGAUUCAAACAUAAGACCACUAGGCUGCCACUCAAGGUCCUUUUUCAGAUAAACGAUAAGGAUACCGGCAUAAUACAUACCCAACAACCUCCAAUGCGUAAGUUAGGUACGUAUUGGGUGUGUAAAGGUAAUUUCACAGACUAGAUUUAGGGUCCGUCUCUGCAUGUCACUUUGUGGAUAAGGAGGAAAAUAUUGUUAAAAAAACAAAAAAAACAAAAAAAACCAAUAACUAAUUAAGUAACCAUAACUUUACUCUAGAGUAUGUGAUAAAACCGUAAUUUACAAUAAUAAUAUGACACGACACUGUCACAGUCCUGAUCUCUUGGACUACAAGGGUCCAUGAGAUGUGUGGUCACUCACCAUUGGAUGUAAAUUCAACGGUUCACUCACUCUUGUAUUCCUUUUAAAAAACUUUUUUGAACCAUUGGAUUAACAUCCAACGGUGAGUGACCACAAUCUCUUGGACUCCUGUGGUCCAAGAGAUCGGGACUGGACACUGUCAUGUAUUUUUUUUAUUAAUUACAUAGUUUGUCUCAAAAAAAAGAAAAAAAAAACUAACAACAAAAACGAAUUGGGUUAACAGUCCUGAUCUCUUGGACUACAGGGGUCUAAGAGAUUUGUGGUCACUUACCGUUGGAUGUAAAUUCAACGGUUCACUCACUCUAGCACUCCUUUUAAGAAACUUUUUUGAACCAUUGGAUUAAUAUCCAACAGUGGGUGACCACAAUCUCUUAGACUCAUGUGGUCCAAGAGAUCGGUACUGUGUGUGCCAAUAGAAUAUGUGAAUUACUAUUUUGUACCUGAUCACUUGUGUUUAUGAAUUACUUUUUCUUCAUACGGUUUUGUAUCCAAUAUCUAACGGUGGGUGAACACAAUUUCUUGGACUCCUGUGGUCCAAGAGAUUGGGACUGCCAAGUCAAUAUCUAGGCAAAUCUCCACUAAUUUAUUCAUGAAGAGGUUAAAUUUUUUUAAUAAAAAUAAAAACUAAAAAAAAAAUUCAAAAUAAAAGCAUAAAACCCAAUAUUGCUACAAUCUAACCUGACCUCGCCAACCAACUAACAAAAAUGAAAAAAGAGCGAAAAAAAGAAGAAGAAGGAAAAUGUGAUAAGAAAGUAGUGGGAAGCUAACCAGCUUGCGCAUAUGUGUCCAAGAUGCUCGGGGUCCUGCCAUCUUCGCCUGCAGCACCUUCCACCUUUUGUCAUGUAGAUUUUUUAAUCAACCCAGGUAAUAAUACAAAUGAAAAGAAAUUAGAGAGAGAAAAAGAAAAAUGAAAAGAAAUUGAGAACCUGAUAAGCAGAGGAGGAAGCACCAAACACAAAGGCCGGCGCCAGUGGGAAGUCAUCUCUGCAAAAGUUAUCAGUGCUUGAAGAAACGCUUUUUAUAGUAAGAAGAAAACACAGCAGAAGUGAAACUCUCAACAUUAAUUAUGGAAAAGACGAAAGCACAGCAAGAGUUUGGAGAUUCUGGUUUCUGAACUUAUAAAAAGCAAAACUUUUGAAUGAGAUUUGAGUGGUUACCCUUUAGUUAUCCUUACUUUAGCUUACCCUAAAGCUCCACGUUGAUAAAGCUAGAAGACUCCAAAUUACUUUAGAAAGGUGUUGUGUGUUGAAUUGAAGACUUUUCAUUUGUCGAGUGCGGAAACUUGUCAAAACGGCCGAAAACUGUUGUCAAAUUAAUUGAUAAAGGUUGUGCGAAGCCCCACUGCCAUGACUGGCUUGAAGUCAAAAGCCUUUGCUUUCUCCCAGUGGCAUAGGAAUUCUCUCAUAGAGAGUCAACAUUAUUAGCCUGAGAAAAUCGUGAAUUUUAACAUAAUAUAUUUUUUUAAUUGUAUAAUUUAGGGAAAUAGAGCUUAAUGCCACCAGUUCUUUAAUUUUAACAAAUAGAAAAAGAAAAAAAAUUACAUUACUUCUCUCUUCUCUCUCCCUCUUUCUUUCUCUCUACCUGAGUCUUGACCUUCUCCCCCACCAACAGUGGCGGAUCCAGGAUUAUGUAGCCAAGGGGGCUUAGUGUAAAAGUUCUGAAAUUUUUCUACAAAGAAAAUAAUGCUAAAAAGAUAGAAAGAUAGUACUUCCAUUCAUAAUUCAUAACAAAACCAAUAAUACAAGUUACAAUUGUCCACGACGAGUUUUUAUAUUCUGAAAACGUUGCAUUAUAAUUUCGUUAUCAAUACAAGCAAAAACAUCUCUCUCAAUGUAAACAAUCAAGCUAUCAUUCAACCAUUGAUCUCCCAUUCUGUUGCGAAGUGGAUUUUUAAUAAUAUUCAUAGCGGAAAAUGCCCUCUCCACUGAUGCAGUUGCAACCGGUAAAACCAAAGCCAAUGUAAGAAGCAAAUACACAAAAGGAAAUAUUUCAUGCAUUCCUUUCUCCACCAUUUUUUCCGCAAGACUAUUAAUCCCUUCCAAUUGAGAAAAAUCACUACUCGAACGCAUAUGAUGAACAUAAAUACCAAGUUGAUCUUCAAGCAUCAAUAAGUCUCUAUCCGAAAAAUCAUAAGGAUAAAAUUGAGCAAGACGAACUAGCUUUCGUUUGUCAAAAGCCACAAAGUUAUUUUUUGGACUCAAGCAUGCCAAACAAGUAAGUAACUCAGUACUUACCUCGUUGAAGCGAUCAUUUAAUUCCGCAAGUUGCCCAUCAAUUACAUGAAUAAAGAUCUCCACAUGAUAACGAUGAUAAUUUGUCUUCAUUGGAGCAUUACGCCGUGAUCUCCCUGGAAUUACAUAUUCCUCAUCCAUGGUAGGAACUAUAAUAUCAUGUUUGUAACAAAACGAGGAUGCUUGCUCAACCAAUUCUUCAAACUCAUUAUCCCUCAUCAACUGCAGGUUUUCCUUGCAUGUUUUCACUAAAUUCAUUGCACUCACAAUGUCUUGAUCUUUCUUUUGCAAUGCUAGAGACAAAGUGUUUGUUAUUCUCAAUAUAGCUUUCAUUAUAAAUAAGUGAAACACAAACUCAAAAGAUUGUAUUUCUCUCCAUAACUUAUAGGCUUCACCCGAACUAUCAUUAGGAUUAUCAUCAACAAUCAUUUGAAGCACAUUCACCACAGAUGGGAACAUAGAAAUGAUACUAAUCAACGUACCAUAAUGUGAGUUCCAUCGUGUAUCGCCGGCACGUUUGAGAGUCCUUUCUUGAUUUAAGCCCCGCCCCGUUAUAAGACAAUCAUCUUCAAAAGCUCUCACAAGCUCUUCUUGGUAUUGUGCUCUAAGUGCAUCGCGACGCUUACAAGAUGCUCCAACCACAUUAAUCAAACUAUUAGCCGUUGUGAAAAAAGAGUUGACAUCAAUGUUUUUCUUUGCUACCGCAACAAGAGCUAGUUGAAGUUGAUGAGCAAAGCAAUGAACAUAAAAUGCACAAGGUUGUUCUCUCAAAAUCUUUGUCUUAAGGCCAUUGAACUCACCUCUCAUAUUGCUAGCUCCAUCAUAACCUUGUCCUCGUAGCUUGGAAAAGCUCAAAUUCGCGGAAGAAAAGAAUUCAUCAAUUGCUUCCUUUAGUGCACUUGAAGUAGUGUCUGUUAUAUGUUGAACCCCCACAAACCUUUCAAUUAUUUGUCCUUUGUCAUUCACAUAACGCAACACCAUCGCCAUUUGCUCCUUUAUUGAAACAUCACGUGCUUUAUCCACCAUUAUUGAAAAAUAUCUAUCUUUUACAUCACUCAAGAUAAGAUCAAUGGUUUUUUUGGCACAAGAAUUGACAAGAUCUUUUUGUAUUGAAGGAGCUAUUAACUUUAAAUUUCCCGGAGUAUUUUCCAACACAACGGCCUUAACUUUUUCAUCAUGAUCCGCAAGAAAUUGUAAGAGCUCUAAAUAAUUCCCUUUAUUACUUGAUUGUGCACUUUCAUCAUGACCACGAAAAGAAAGCCCUUGCCGCAACAAAUACCUAGUGCACUUAAGUGAUGCAUUCAAGCAAGUGCGAUAAGCCGUGCGAGCUUGGCUUGUUUGCUUGAUCACAAUUGUUUCAAUGUGUGUAGUUUGAUGCAUCAAAUUGUAAGCAACUUCUCUAGCUUGGUUGUGAACACUACCAACCGGUCCAAUAUGAAGGUUAAAUCUUUCUUUCGCCUUCUUCCAAUUAUUGAAGCCUACCCCAGUGAAUGCAUCACCACCCACUUGAUCAAAAUUAGAUUUGAAGAGAUAACAAUGAAGACAAAAUGCAGCAUCUUUAGCAAUACUAUAUUCCAACCAAUCAUGAUCAUCAAACCAAUGAGCAAUGAAGCGUCUAUUAAUUCCUGAUUGAUUAGUUUGUGGGAAUUUAUAACUUCUAGGUUGACAAGGUCCCUUUUGUAGAUAUGCUCUUCGGAUCUCAUCCCUAAUAUUAGGACUAUAAUCCGCCAUUCGAGUUCUUAGUCCAGGGUCUGCUUGAAGAUUAGCUAAGAUCUCAUCUACAUCAAUUGGUCUUGCAUUUGAACUACCCGGAUUAGACAGAGAAGAACUAUCCGUAGAUAAUUUUCUUUUAAAGAAUCGUUCCAUAAAUCUACAAAUCAAUUAAUUCAAUCAAUCAUUAAUUUUUAUCCAAAUUAUCAUAUGAAUAUGAAAAUUUCAAUAACCCACUCUCAAUAUUCAAUAUACUCCCUAAACCCAUAUCAAUCAAUAUUCAAUAUACCAAAUUAUCAUAUCAAAUAGCAAUCAAUAUUUAAUAUACCCAAUCAAUUCAUAUUAUCAAUCAAGCAUAAACUCAAUCAAUCUACAUUAAUAUGAUUAUCACUAUGAUUCAUAUCCAUAAAUUUAAUUACAUAAAAAAAAAAUAUCAAUAUGAUUCAUAUCCAUAAAUUUCAAGCAUAAACUCAAUCAAGCAUAAACUCAAUCAAUCAAUAUGAUUCAUAUCCAUAAAUUUCAUUACAUAAAAAAAAAAUAUCAAUAUCAACAAUAUAUAUUAUCACUAUAAUUAUUAAUAUCAGAUUUUCCAUGCUUACUUACUUGUAGUUUAAAAAAUGGGCGGCGGACGGCAGUAGAAGGUGGUGGUGAUCGGCACUGGACCACCGGUGAAGAGUUGAUGGAGGUUGUCCAAGGUUGGGAGGUUGGGAGGUUAGGGUUUGAGAGGAUGGGAAGAGGGGCUGUGGAAUUGGGAAUGAAAGGUUUGGAGAAAAUGAAUCUGUGCAGAGCUGCUGUGCGUGUAUACUGUUCUGUUUUUUUUUUGUUUUUUUUUUUAAAAAACCUGGCCCAAAACGACGUCGUUUUGAGGCCAGGUCAAUUAAAAAAAAUUUGACUGAGCCUUGACCAAACGACGUCGUUUGGCAAGGCUGGUUUUAAAAAAAAAUUACGCGCAGCGCAGCUGCGCAGUUGCGCAGGACAUUUCGUUGGGGCAUUUCGUCGAGCACAUUGUGUGCAUACAAGGGGGCUUCCAGCAGCUGUCCAAGGGGGCUUUCAUGGACUCCCUUGCCAAAUUUUCAGCCUUCCAAGGGGUCGUCCGACCCCUCUUGUCCCAACGUGGAUCCGCCAUGGGCCACCAACGAAUAGGUAAACGUUAAUUGUAAAGAAAAGCAGCAAAGUACAUGCCAUUACAGAAAUUUUUGUGCUUGAAUUUUAAUUACUGAAAUUAUGUGCUUGAAUUUCAAGCAGCAAAGCACACUCCCAAAUCGAAAGGCAAACCCAUUCAAACAUCAUACAAAUCAAGAGGGAUAAUAUCCAAAACCAUUCAAGAAAUCAAAACCAAGAGGGCUGGGGCGCUCCUUUUGUUUAUAAAUUAAAUUUUGUUUUUGUUUUAUGGUUUAGAAAAGAUUUGGAGUUUUUGGGUUCUGUUUGGUAGGCAAGAAAAUUGCAACAGGAAGUUGAGAUUUUAGAGGUGGAUUUGGUUGGGGAAGGAGUGGUUUUGAGGAUUUUUAAGGCGGCGAUGCUGGUUAGAUGGAAGGGAGGAGCUGGCGGGGACACUACUACAUUUUACACUUUGCGCAACGAAGAGAAUUUCGUCGCGCAAAAUACAUUGUAGUCGCACAAAUUUUAGCGCGACAGAAACUUAGUCGCGCAGAAUCCGUCGCACAAAGAUCGUGAAGAAACACUUUGCGCGACCAAGUUUUUUCAUUGGUAGCGCAAAGUGACCUUUGAGCGACGAAAAACAUUGGUCGCGCAAAGUUUUGCGCGACGAAACACAUUGGUAGCGCAAAGUUUUGCGCGACAAAAAACAUUGGUCUCGCAAAGUCUUAAAAAAAUAAAUAAUAAAUAAAAAAUUCCCCCGUCCCAUUUUUGGUACCCGCUCAAAAAUAAAAAAUUCCAGUGUCCCAUUUUUAGAGUUUUGCGCGACGAAAUAUUUUUUGUGUUUUAAAUUUUUUUAAUUAAAAUAAACUAAUUUAAUACUUUGCGCGACGAAAUAUUUUGUCGCGCAGGGUUUUUGACUUUUUGUUUUAUUAUUUCUUUAAUAUUAAUUUAAUUAAUUAAUUUUUUUUGAAAUUUUACUUUUGAAAUUUUGUAUGAUUUUUUUAAAUUACUUUAAUUUAAAUUUAUAUUAAUUUUUUCAAAUUUUUACUUUUUAAAUUUAAUUUAAUUGUAUAAUUUUUUUUUAAUUACUUUAAUUUAAAUUGACAUAUUCAAAAUAAAAUUACAUAUGAAAAAUAGUGAUCAAAUUAUCCAAUAAAUAUAUAUUCAAAAUGUACACAUAAAUUAACAAAUCCUAAUACAAGUGUAUUGUGGUGGUAGUGGCGGAGGAUAUGUUUUGAUAGCUUCCUAAUCCUCAACUUUAGCCGUCAAAGUCUCAAUGAUUCCCUACAAAAAAACAAAUACGGUCAAAUAACAAAAAAGAAAAAGAAAAAAAGAAGGCAUAAUCUCCCCAAAAAUUGUUAUACCACAAAUCCAACCCAAACUCCAAUCCCUCCCCUUUACUCAACCCCAAACCCCACACAAACUCAAAACUAACUCCAAAAACACAUAUUAAUGAAAAAAAUUUAAAAUUUGGAGAGAAUAUACCUUUUGGAAAGAUUGAGAGUGAGUGAGAAUGAAGUGAGUGUGAGAGAAUUAGAGAAGAUAGUGAUAGAGAGAUGAGAUAGUGAGUGAGAGUGAGAGAUGGUGAAAAGAGAGAUAAGAGAGUGAGUGAGAGUGAGAGAUAGUGAAGAGAAAGAUGAGAGAUUAAGUGAGAGGAGUGAGUGUGAGAGAAAUGGUGGGAUUUGGGGAGAGGGAAAGAAAGAGGAGAGGUAAGAGUAGAGAAAGACAUUGAGAAAAUGGUGGAGGAGUUAUUUCAGUUUUAAAAACCGUAUCACUUUGCGCGACGAAAAAUAUUGUUAGUCGGCAAAGUUUUGCGCAACGAAAAAUAUUGGAAUAUUAGUCCCGCUAACUUUUGCGUGACGAAACAUAUUGGUCGCACAAAGUUUUGCACGACGAAUAUAGGAAUAUUGGUCGCGCAAAGUCUUUAAAAAAAUUAUUAUAAAUAAAUAAAAAAAUUCCCGCUUCCCAUUUUUGGUACCGGCCAAAAUUUUUAAAUUUUUGCGUGAUGAAAAAUACAUAUUGGUUGCGCAAAGUCUACAAAAAUUACCGCAUCCCAUUUUUGGUACCCCGAAUUUUUGCUCGACGAAAAAUAUAUAUUGGUCGCGCAAAGUUUUGAGCGACAAAAAAUAUUGGUUGCGCAAAGUCUAAAAAAAGUCUUUUUUUUUUAAAUCCUGAGUCCCAUUUUUAGUACUAGCCCAAAUUUUUAGAGUUUUGCUUGACGAACUGUUGGUCGCGCAAACUUUUGAGAGACGAAAAAUUAGUUCGUACCAUAAUAUUUAUAAAAAUAAUUGUUAUGAAUAAUAAAAAAUAAAAUAUUUUUAUUUUACAAUUUAAAAUAUAAAUAAGGUUAAAGCUACAUAAUAAAUAUAUAUACUAUUCAAUUUCUUAAGUGUUAUACGUACAAAAUAAAUAAAUUUAAAGCUACUUAAUAAAUAAAUAUAUAUAUACACAAACCAUUCAACGAUCCAACUGUCAGACUUGUUUAUAUAUACUUCAAGAUCGUAUACCCUAAAAAACGCAAAAAAUAAACAUUCAGAGAUCUAGUAACGGGACAAAACUUUUCGAUGGUUAUAAAUGAAAAAUCACAAUUUUUGAUAUUUUUUUACAGCUACACUCCUUGACCCUAUAUGAAUACAAUGACUAAAUUUGAUCUUCAAUUUAAAAUAUUUACACUAGUGGAUACCACAAAAUCUUAUGUUAUAUUUAACCAAAGUAUAAAUAAACUCUUAGUUGUUAGUGAAUAUAUUUUUUUGAUGGCAUACGCAUUCUACGAAACUAGUUUCAACUAUCCAACCGUCAAACUUGUUUGUUUAUACUUCGAGAUCAUAUACGCCAAAAAUCAGAAACAAUAAACAUUCAGAGAUCAAGUAAUGGGAUAGAACUUUUCGACGGUUAUAAAUGAAAAAUCGUGAUUUAAUGGUUAUUUUAACUCCGAUUUUGAUGAUUUUUUACAGCUACACUCCUUGACCCUAUAUGAAUAUAAUGAUUGAAUUUGAUCUUCAAUUUAAAAUAUUUACAUUAGUGGAUACCACAAAAUCUUAUGUUAUAUUUAACGGAAGUAUAAAGAAACUCUUAAUUAUUAGUGAAUAUAUUAUUUUCAUGGCAUAUGCAUUCUACGAAACUAGUUUCAACGAUCCAGCCGUCAAACUUGUUCGUUUAUACUUCAAGAUCAUAUACGCCAAAAAUCAGAAAAAAUAAACAUUCAGAGAUCAAGUAAUGGGAUAAAACUUUUCGACAGUUAUAAAUGAAAAAUCUUGAUUUAAUGGUUAUUUUAACUCCGAUUUUGAUGAUUUUUUACAGCUACACUCCUUGACCCUAUAUGAAUACAAUGACUGAAUUUGAUCUUCAAUUUAAAAUUUUUACACUAGUGGAUACCACAAAAUCUUAUGUUAUAAUAUUUAACGAAAUUAUAAAUUAACUCUUAAUUGUUAGUGAAUAUAUUGUUUUGAUGGCAUAUGCAUUCAGCAAAACUAGUUUCAACGAUCUAACCGUCAAACUUGUUUGUUUAUACUUCUACACGCCAAAAAUCGAAAAAAAAUAAACAUUCAGAGAUCAAGUAAUAGGACAAAACUUUUCAACGGUUAUAAUGAAAAAUCACGAUUUAACGGUUAUUUUAACUCCGAUUUUGAUGAUUUUCACAGCUACACUCCUUGACCCUAUAUGAAUACAAUGAAUUAAUUCGAUCGUCAAUUUAAAAUAUAUAUUUUCUAACAAAAACCCAAUCCGAAUAAUAAUAAUAUAUUUUUCUAACAAAAAUCCGAUCCGAUCUAAAAUAAUAAAUUUAAAGCUACUUAAUAAAUAUAUAUACCGCUUAAUUUCUUAAGUGUUAUGCAUACAAAAUAAAAUAAAUAAAUAAAUUGGUUUAGGCGACGAAAUGUUUGGAUUACGUCAUGCAAAGAUUUUUAAAAAUAAAUUUUUAUUUUAUUUAUUUUUAUAAGGACUUUGCGCGACGAAGUUUAUUGUUUCGUCGCACAAGACUUUGAGCGAUGAUUUAUUGUCGUCGCGCAAAGUUUGUAGCGCGAAGUGACUUUGCGUGACGAAUUAUUUUUCGUCGUGCAAAAUUUGGUCGCGCAAGACUUUGAGUGACGAAGUUUUGAGUGUCGUCGCGCAAAGUGACUUUGAGCGACGAAUAGUUUUUCAUAGCGCAAAAUUUGGUCGCGCAAGGGGUUUUUUUUUACUAGUGGGAGGGGGUGAGGCAGUGAUGAUUACCCCAAGUGGGUUGGUUGGGGGAGGGAGUCGGGUAAAGAGAGAGGGGAGAGAAGAGAGAAGGGAAGAGAGAAGUAAUGUAAUUUUUUAAUUUUUUUAAAAUAAAAUAUUUUAUUAUAUUUUUCACAUGUGACACUUACAUGGCGUAUAUUUUAACAAAAGAACGAACCCUAUUUGUGUCACAUUAGCAUUUUUAACAGAAUUUUUGACAGAGUUAACAGUGGGAGGCAAAGUGAGCCACAAAAUCUUGGUCAAGGGGGUACUCUGGGUCACUUUAACUUUCAGGAAGUAAAGUAAAAUUUGACUAUAGUUUCAGGAGGCACUACAGUAAAUAAGCCUAAAAAAAAUUCGAAUAUCAUAUUGGGUUAGGAAAUUGAAAACACAAGGAAGCCUAUUUCAUUGUUUCUCUUGUCAAAUGGCCUUUUUUUCAAAAAGUGAAGUCUCUGGUAGCAAAGGCUUUUCUUGGUUUCCACCAAAGUUGAUGGUGAUUGAAUGCCUCCCAACUCCAUCUUGAAUUGGUUCUCCAAGUCACUAAAGAAAGUUACCUCAAAGUUUCUUCACCAAUAAGAGCUUCAGAAGAAGGUGAUGUAUCUUAGUGAGAUGAUUAUGCUAGCAAUCUCUCACCAAGAAGACCGGUUUUUGCAAGGGUUGAAUGGGAAAGCUAGAGCAGAGCUUAUGUAACAUCCUGACCCAAUUUUAACCAUUUAUUAAAUCUAUUUAAUUUAUUUAAUUAAAAAAUUACAAUUUUGUCCUUGGAGUAAGGUCACGAUGGUCACUUUUCGAUCCGUAAGGAUAUUGAGGAUUUAAGUGGCACCGUUGUGUAGAGCGCAUCGAUACAUUAAAAAACUGCUAAUAAGUUAGGAACAUACAUUAAAAGACUACAUAUAAGUUACAUACGAAAAUAGACAAGUAAAAAAUGUAUGUUACCUAUAAAUAAAAAAAGGUAUAUAAAAUACUAUUAUACAUUAUCGAAAAUAUGAAAAACACAUCUAUAUAUAUACCUAUGCAAUAGGCAAUAGAAUAAUAUACCUGCACCACAUGAUAAUAUAUCCAUAAGAGUAUGUGAUAUACAUCUACCAUAGGGUGAACAAAAAUAAAAAUUGUUACCAAUAACUCAUGUGCUAAACGAUGUGCUACUAUAUUUGCUUCCCUAAAACACUUGAACAAUCAGUAAUUCAAUCGCCUGAAGGCAAGAGAAGCAUGAUGAAACUUACAAAGGAUGGUCAACAACUUCUGUGCAAGCAUUAGGACAUCCAAUGGCCAUUGAUGGACCACGCUUUCUGGGAUGAAUGAGGUUGGAGUGCGAGUCACCAUCCAUAAGAGCACGGAUUCGAGUGAGCCCAACGAUGUGGUUCUUAGUGCAGCCACGACCAUUUGGCUAUCAGUAUCUCCACAAAAUGUGUUCAAUUUUUUCAAGGAUGAAAGAACUCACUUUGGGAAUGUUUGCGAUAUUUUUCUUUUCUAUUCAAUGACAAAUGUCAUAAAUGCCUAAUUAUUAUCACAUAAAUUACUAUUACCCAAUUCAAGGCAUAAAGGGCAACAUUGGAACCAAAAAUGAUUUAAAGAAAAUAAAAAUAAAAAGAUUAUAUCAUUAAAUAUUUUAAAACGAAUGUGAUCCUAUGUGGCACAAAAGUUAAAGGACUUGUAUCAAAGUCCCCAAAUUCAAAGAUUAAACCCAACUUCUCAAUGAAAAUUUGGAUCUAUAUCAACUUUUCUAUUAACUAAUCUUAAUUUUUGCUCCAAAAUACACAAAAUAAGCUGUUUUUAACAUUAAAUUUGCCAUCAGGGAUUUGGCCGCAAAUAUAUAUAACAUCCACAAGAUACCCCUCCAAGUACUACAACUGCCAGUGAAUCUCUCUUCUAUGAGAAUUUUUUUAAACAAUGGCCAAUGAAUCCACCAAACAAGUUUAUUUCUUUUCAAUGGAAGUUUUAUUUUCCCAGAAUGUACGUUACGGUAAUAUGUGGAAGUAUCAUCAUAAUUUCAUAGAGUCAUUCGGUAUGAAUGCUACAUGACACUACUUGAAAAUGAAAACGGCUCUUCUGCUCAUAAAUGAAAUGUUCCAAAUGUUCCAAUAAAUUGUUGCUCCCAUUGGACUAUUUGUAUCUAUAUGCAUUAGGAUCCCAAUGUUCAUUGAUCUCUCAGUUCGAGAAAUAAAAAUUAGAGGAGAAGCGAUCCUUGCAGGGCCGUCUCUGAGAUUUUGAGGGCCCUGUGCGAAACUUAAAUUAGGGCCUCACAUAAUCUAAUAUGAAAAUACUAUAAAUUGGUGUUGAAAUUCCUGAAAUUGAAAGAAUAACAAUAGAACCAAAGAGAGAUUGAUGAAUGAUGAUGAUUACUUAUCAGAAAAUCAGAGUUUAAGAGAAAGAAGCCAUGAAUUUGUUUUUGUUUUGUUUUGAAUGAAGAAAGUACUUUUCUUGGAGGAGAAACCUUUUGUUUAAUUUUUAAGAACGAUAGUAACAAUAUAAAAAUAGGCAAAUAGAUCGGCUUCAGAAAGAACCAAACUCUAGCCCUUUUGUUAAAUGAAUAUGCGCUCCAGCCAACCCCGCUAGACAAGCUCUUGUGCAAAUAGUCAGCACGCUAUACUAUAUAUAUACAAUUCCUAUAAUAUUAAAAUAUAUAUAUAUAUAUAUAAAGAAUUUUUUUUUCGGAGGCCCUUAAGAAUCGAGGGCCCUGUGCGGUGGCGCCACUGGCGGACCCAAUCAAAGACAACUGUGGGCUAGCUGCCCACACUUACCAAAAAAUCUUCAGCCGUAAAAUCCCACUUAAAUUCAUAAUUUUUAAUUAUUUUUAGGUCCCUUCCAAGUAAAGCCCCCACAUAGCCCAUUCAAUACACACUUAAAGCCCAAAACUUAUAUUAAAAAAGAAAAACCCUAAACCCUAUGUUAAAAAGGAAGAAUAGAGAUCCCAUCAAGUUCACUCAUUCUGUAAUUUUGUGGAGAACUCAGCCGCCAAACUUGUUAUUUGACAGAAGUCUACAGCCCAACAAAUCAAACUCGCUACUUUAAUUGAUUUUACAAGUUACUACUUAGUUGUUUUUUACAAACUAAUUUCAUUAUAUUCUUAUUUAUAUGCAUUCAAUUUGUACUGAUGAUCGAUUUUUUUUUAUUUAUUAUUAUUAUUAUUAUAUAUCUUGAUGAAAAAUAAUAUAAACUAUUUAUGACAGUUAUGGAAAAAUAUUUUAAAAGAAAAUCCAAGUUGGAGUUGUCAAGACCUAUUGGGAGAAGUGAUGAUAGUUCAAAGCAAAGUCACAUAGAAAUCAAUAUGUCAGAUCAUCAUUCUGAUUCCGGUUUACGAACUCGAAUUUUAGAUUACAAUCCGAACAUUCGAGAUGAAAUUAGAAGAGCUUACUUACAAAAAGACCCUUGUCAGCCUAGAAAUCAUGAUUUCCCUAAAAAUAAAUUUAGAAAAGAGUCAAGACGAUUCAACUCGGCAUGGUUUGAUGAAUUCCCUUAUUGGUUGGAACAUAGAAUCAAAGAAGAUUCUGCAUUUUGCUUAUGUUGUUAUCUUUUUAAAAAAAAUUUGGGAGAGAAAGUUGGAGGUGACUCAUUUGUUGGUGCAGGUUUUUCAAAUUGAAAGAAAAAGGAAAGAUUUCAAGUUCAUGUUGGAGGUCCCAAUAGUUCCCAUAACCAAGCUCUGAAAAAAUGUCAAGCCUUAAUGAAUGAAAAACAACAUAUUGAAAAUGUUUUCCAUAAGCACUCACAUCAAUCUCGAAUUGACUACAGAAUCAGAUUGAAUGCAUCUGUUGAUUGUAUUAGAUUUCUUCUACGACAAGGUAUUGCCUUUUGUGGCCACGAUGAGUCUGAGGAUUCAAGCAACCAAGGUAAUUUUCUUGAGCUUUUGCAAUUUCUUGUUGAUCACAAUGAGGAAGUUAGAGCUGUUGCUUUGAAAAAUGCUCCAGAAAACCUCAAAGUAACUUCACCUAAGAUUCAAAAAGACAUUGUAAAUGCUGCAGCAGUUGAAACUACUGAUGUUAUUAUUAGAGAUAUGGAUGAUGCAUUCUUUUCUAUUUUAGUUGAUGAAUCUCGUGAUGUGUCAGUAAAAGAGCAGAUGGUUGUUAUGCUUCGUUAUGUAGACAAGAAAGGAUGUGUGAUUGAAUGGUUCAUAGGUAUUGAACAUGUUACAAGUACCACAGUUGAGUCACUUAAAGUAAGUAUUGAUGCAUUAUUUUCUAGACAUAAAUUGAGUAUGUGCAAAUUACGAGGUCAAGGUUAUGAUGGGGCCAGUUAUAUGAGUGGAGAGUUCAAUGGUCUGAAGACACUUAUUAUGAGGGAGAAUGAGUCUACUUACUAUGUUCAUUGUUUUGCACAUCAACUUCAAUUGGCUAUAGUGGGUUUGGCAAAAAAGCACAGCCUCAUAUUUGCGCGACGAAAAUCUCAGUCGUCUCGCGGAAUAUUUUGCGCGACGAAAUAUUUCGUCGCGCAAAACGUGUUUGCGAGACGUAUAGGUUCGUCGCGCAAGAAUAAAAAGUAAUAAAAAAGUUGAUUUUUUAUUUUUUUUUGUUACAUACAUGUGGGUUUGCGCGACGAAAUGUUUUCCGUCGCGCAAAAAUAAUAUUACAAUUUUUUUUUGUUUUUUACUUUUUUGUUUUUUAUUUUUUUAAAAUAAAAUUGGUUUUUUUUUAUUGAUUAAACAAUGAAAUUGCAAUAAAAAUAAAUUAGAACAAAAUUUUGUUAUAAAAUAAAAUAAAUGUAUUACAAAUAAAAUAAAUGUUUAUAAUGAAAAUAAAUACACUAAUCAAAUAAUGAAGCAAAAUCAACCGGGUCGUCGCCAGUAUGCGGCUCGGAGGUCUGGGCGUCCACCGGGGCAGUGGUCUGGGCGUCCACCGGGGCAGUGGUCUGGUGGGCAGGCUCGGGGUGGACGGGCUGGGAGGUCGACGCACGAAACUGCAGGAUGGGAAAGCCUCCCUGUGCGAGGGACUGUAGAAUCACCGACAUCUGACCCUGAAGCUCGGCCACCUGUGCUGUCAAAGCAGUCACCUGACUGUUUGACUACGCCGAUGAACGAGGUCUAGGUUCCCUCUGCCAGGCAUUCCCCAUCCCUCGACAAUAUGUCCCCGGCCUCCUCCCGAGAGUCUGAUCCAACGUCUCCGUCAUGAUCUGAAAUCCAGCAUCCUGUGGAGGAGCCACAGACUCGAUCGGAGUCUCGGGAGGAAGCUGGGAGGCGGACUCCUGAAGAACCAGUUGGCUCCUCUCCACCAUCGUCGUCUGUUGAACAUAACAUAAAAUAUAAAUUAAAACAUGCAUAUAAAUUGAAUGCGUAACAUAAGAAUUAAAAUUAAAUAAUACUUACAUAAAGGGACUCGGCCAACUCAUUCCCGGGUCGAACAUAAACGUCACCAAAGACGUCGAUCUCUGGGAACUUGGACCCCUCCUAAAUUGAACAAGAGAAGACAAAUAUUAGUAUGAAAAAAAUAAAUUAAUAAAAAUGACAUUAAAAAUGAAAUAUAAAUUAUGUGAUUAUUACCCGUCGCCGUGCAUCCAUUCUAUACGAAAAGGGCCUAGAGCCGGAAUGGUGGAGAAGGGUCUUCUUCUUCCUAUUACCCUUAUUCACUUGGGCUUUAUUCUGUUAUACAAAAAAUGAAACGUAUUAGUUCAAAUAUAAAAAAAUUAAAUAAUAAUGAAAUAAAAAAAAUCAAAUAAACAUUAAUAAGAAAUAAGUAAUAAUUAAACAAAUAUUAUUUAAAAAAAAUACCACAUAUUCAGGCGCUUGAAAAUGAGCGCAGAGCCACUCCCAACUAUCCUCCCACCCCUCAAGCUCCUUCGGGCAACCCUCCUGAAGAGCGACUUGCGGAUCAUCAAAGGCCUGAAAAUGGUGGUGCAAGUCGCUCUUCCACUGCUUGUACCUCUCAGCGAAGAGUCUGUUGACGUACGCCAACGACUCUUCGUCGAGAUCCUCCAAGUUAUAGUUCGUCUGCAAUCAAUUAAUUAGAUAUGUUAAGUAAUAGAAAUAUACACAAUUUUAAAGAAAAAUAAUGAAAAUGUAAGGUAUAUACCGACAACUAGCCGCGAACCUCCACCUUGAUCUCGUCAGGCAUGACCCUCCAAGACUUCCAUUGCAUCGGGCAAUGAGUCUGCACGACGUGGCCAAUGUCGUGGGCCAAGGAGCUAUGCAACUCCGCCGUCGGUGCAGCCCGAUGGCGCUCGUCGUAUCCGAUGCUGAUACGACUGUUGGUCACCUGGGUGACCUUCGCCGUCUUCAGCUGACGACACGGCCCUCGGGUGUUCUUCUUCGCUGCAAAGAAAUAAGGUAUUAAUGUUAAAUAAACAACAUUGUCAAAUUUCAAUAUAAAAUUAAAAAUACAAAAGGGUAGUUAUACCUGGCUGUGAUCCCGAGGCACCAGUACCGUCGGUUGAUGUCGUCUCGGUGGUGUCGGCGGGCUGGUGCCGCCGCCUAGCACUAGCUGGCUGUGCGACGGAUGACGCAGAUGACGCUGGCGCCUGGGACGCCCCGGGACCAACCAGCACGUGGUCCAUCAAAGCUGGAGCAGUGGCAGCAGAUGCCGACUGAGCCGGGGGAUCCGAACUCGGUGCAGUCGUCAUCAACCUACCACGUCUAAUCAAGUCUGACAUCUGCACAUAUAAUUUCAUUAAGAAUUUAAACUAAUUAAGUAAAAGCAUAGCAUGACCUAGGGUUUGGAAUUUCGGAGUAUCCGGGACUCCGAUCAACGGUCGGUCGAAUCCUAAACGAUCCUAGAAACACAAAGGUACAACUACGUGAGUUUGAGUUCGAUCCAACGGUCCGAACAUAUCAAACCUGAAAAUCGCACAAUAGGCGAAAUCCGAUCAAGACUCAAACGGUAACCAAAUUCAAAUCCGAGCAAACCUACGCGCUCGUGACAAACAGGGGAUUGCUCUGGGACCCAAUGCCACACUGCCACAGAAUCCCACGCGCCACCACACGCGCCGGCAGCGCAUGGGUGUCCAAAGCGAUAACAUUCGCCGGAAAAUUCUAAAAACUAAGGGCCAAGGUUCCUACCCUAGGUUGAAAACAUUAAUUGGAGCCACUUUUGUUCUCGGACCUACCCCGAAAAAUGGCUGGAAGUGGCCGGAUUUGAAAUUCCCAAACCAUCCAAAACCUAGGGUUUUAAUUCCUAUUUCCUAUAGCGAAAAUUGAAGAAAUCCUAACCAACCAUCAGCUAGAGCACAAAAAAUAGUCGAGAAAUCAUACCUCAGGCGUCGGAAAUGGUGGCCGGAGGAGAGAGAAAUCGGCCGGCGAAGAAUCGGGAAAAACCGACGAAAUUGCGACGGCAAGCUCGACGGCGACGGCAGGGAGGCUACGGAACGAGCGGAGGUGGCUGAGGUGACGGCGGAGAGAGAGGGCUGAGGUGACGGCGGAGAGAGAGGGAGAAACGGAGAAAAACCAGAAAAUGGGGAAGAAGGAGGCAUCGGGCCGUUUCUGCAAAUUUAUUCGACUUUGCACGACGAAGAACAGAAUGCGUCGCGCAAAAUGGACUUAAUUAAUCUUGCGCGACGAAAAAUCCGUCGCGCAAUGUGUCCCACAACGCCAAAUUUUGAAUUGGGAUUAGGGUCUGUGCCUUUUGCGCGACGAAAAGGCAUAAGUUCGUCGCUCAAAACACUUUCUUUCCGCCUAAAUUUUGGGAUUUAGGGUUUAGCGGGAGGCUGAAAGUGAAGGGUUUGUGCUUUUGCGCGACGAAGACAGUAAACGUCGCGCAAGGAGAAGAUUGCGCGACGGAAUAUAACAUACUCGUCGAGCAAAACACUUUCUUUCCACCUAAAUUUUGGGAUUUAGGGUUUAGCGGGGGGCUGAAAGUGAAAGGUCUGUGCCUUUUGCGCUACGAAGACAGUAAACGUUGCGCAAGCAGACGAUUGCGCGACGGAAGACAGUGUAUUCGUCGCGCAAAACACUUUCUUUCCGCCUAAAUUUUAGGAUUUAGGGUUUAGCGGGGGGCUGAAAGUGAAGGGUCUGUGCCUUUUGCGCGACGAAGACAGUAAACGUCGCGCAAGCAGACGAUUGCGCGACGAAAAACAAUGUAUUCGUUGCGCAAAACACUUUCUUUCCGCCUAAAUUUUGGGAUUUAGGGUUUAGCGGGGGGUUGAAAGUGAAGGGUCUGUGCCUUGUGCGCGACGAAUACAGUAAACGUCGCGCAAGCAGACGAUUGCGCGACGGAAAACAGUGUAUUUGUCGCGCAAAACACUUUCUUUCCGCCUAAGUUUUGGGAUUUAGGGUUUAGCAGGGGGCUGAAAGUGAAGGGUCUGUGCCUUUUGCGCGACGAAGACAGUAAACGUCGCGCAAGCAGACGAUUGCGCGACGGAAAACAGUGUAUUCAUCGCGCAAAACACUUUCUUUCUGCCUAAAUUUUGGGAUUUAGGGUUUAGCGGGGGGCUGAAAAUGAAGGGUCUGUGCCUUUUGCGCGACGAAGACUGAAAACGUCGCGCAAGGUUCGCUAAUGAAAAUGAAUGGUCUGUGCAUUUUGCACGACGAAGACAGGAAACGUCGCGCAAGGUUCGCUCAGGAUUUUGAUUCGGUUGAAAUUUUCACUAAGUGUUCAAAGGGGAUGGAGGGGUGAAAUGUGUGGCCCAGAUUGCACGACGAACAGAGCUGGAUCCGUCGCGUAAUCUUGUCUUUGCGUGACGCAUAUAUUUAUUCGUCGCGCUAGUUCAGGAUUUUGAUUCGGUUGAAAUUUUCACCAAGUGUUCCAGAUUGCGCGACGAACAGAAGAUGGAUCCGUCGCGCAAUCUUGUUCACUUACGCUUUGCGCGACGAACAGAAUAUGAUUUCGUCGCGCAAAACCUAAAGCCUAAAAUGUAAACCCUAAACCCUAAGCCCUAACCCUAAACCCUAAAAUAGUUUCAAUGAUCCAACCGGCAAACUUAUUUUUUUAUACUUGGAGAUCGUAUACGCCAAAAAUCAAAAAGACCAAACAUUCAGAUAUCAGGGAACGGGACAAAAUAUUUCGACGGUUAUAAAUGAAAAGUCAUGAUUUAACGGUUAUUUUAACUCCGAUUUUGAUCAUUUUUUACAGCAACAUUUGUUGACCCUAUAUGAAUACAAUGACUGAAUUUGAUCUUCAAUUUCAGAUUUUUACACUAGGGGAUACCACAUAAACGUUAAGUUACAUUUUCACAAAUGUAUGAACAAAUUUUAGGAUUUUUGGUGAAUAUAUGAUUUUGAUAGCACACGCAGUCUAUGAAACUACUUUCAGUCAUCCAGCCGUCAAACUUGUUUUUUUAUACUUCGAGAUCAUAGACAGCAAAAAUCGGACAAAAAAAACAUUCAGAGAUUAAGUAACGGGGUAAUACUUUUCGACGGUUCUAAAUAAAAAGUGAUGAUUGAACGGUUAUUUUAACUCCGAUGUUGAUGAUUUUUUUGCAGCUACAGUCCUUCACUCCAUAUGAAUACAAUGAACUAAUUCGAUCGCCAAUUUUAAAUAUAUAUGUGUGUAUAACGUUACCCUAUAACGUUACGCUAAUAUAUAUUUGCGCGACGAAGGGACCCUUAUCGUCGCGCAAAAAGACCAUGCUCGACGGAAGUAUAUUUUGUCGUGCAGUGUUGUAACUUUACGCGACGAAUAUAUAUGCGUCGCGCAAACUAUGCGCGACGAGGUUGAUUCGUCGCGCAAGGAUUUGGCGCCAUUUCCUCAUUUAGUUCAAAUUGUGUAUGCUUUGUAUUUUUUGGAAAGGUUUUGUGUUCAUCAUUUUUUAACUUUGUAUAAAGAGGGUUAUAUUAUUUGUUUUACCGAUGUUGUUUAACUAAAUAUUUUUUCAUUUUUGAUUUUGUUGUAUGUUUUAACAAUGUCUCACGCGAAGGAAUAAACUUUAAUAAACUCAUGAAAACUUUAAUAAAUUUUAACAAUGUUUUAACAAUGUUUUAACAAUGUCCUUUUUGUUUUAUAAAGUGAAGGAAUAAACUUUCAUAAACUCAUGAAAACUCAAUCAAAUUUAGAAUUGGCCAUAAACCUCAUUACGUCAAAUGUUUUGUCAAUAAAAUUUUUCAAAUUAUUAUUAAAAGGGUUUUAUAACUAGAUUUAUUUAACAAUGUUACACUUGUUGACAUAUAUAAGGAUUGGAUAUAACAACUACAUAUAUUCAAAGAUUUGUAUUACACAAAAUGAAUACACAAACAUAAUAAAUUUACAAAUAAAUUCAUUAUUCAUCAUCUGAACAAUAAUAACUUUCGUUAUCGUCGCUAUCAUCACUCUCGGUCUCCCAAUCUUCUUCCUCCUCCUCCUCUAUAACUGCAUCAUCGGCGUUGCUAGGGCCCACUGCAACAUCGUAUCGCGGAAGAUCACCGAGGUCAAUUGUAAUUGACUGAAUCGGUAUUUCGACUGAAGACACUCCUUCUAUUUGAAACGGUUCUUGUAUAACAUUUGUACCUCGAAGUGUUUCCGCAUCAUUUUCCAUUGAAGAUUCUAAACGUUGGUCAGCCACAUUGUCGACGUCGUUGUCACUUGGGUCUAGUUCUGGUAUAUCAUACACGUUCCUAUGAUCCAUCUUCUGCACAACUUUCCACCCGCUCCCGGCUUUAGGGUCAUCUAGAUACACAAUUUGGGACGCCAUGUUUGCCAAAAUGUACGGGUCGUUAUCAUACCAAGUUCUGUUAAUGUUCACAGACAGUACUCCAUGGUCGAGUUUAACACUUCCCUCCCUAUUUGGGUUGGUAUCGAACCAUCGACACUUAAACAUGAUGACUUGGUAUCGAUCUUUGUAAAGCAAUUGCACGACAGUUGUCAGUUUGCCAUAGAAAUCAAUGUCCGUACUUUCGCCUCCACUGGGACAUGGACACCGCUGUUUUGCGUACACAACUUGUCAUCUCGUGCGGCCCCCAAAAAUUUGACGCCGUUAACAUUACAACCCGAGAACAAUUCAGCGCGAAUUGGGCCGAACGCCAAGUUAUAUAACUCAUCACUGUAAGUGGGGGAAUUCGAUGAUUUCAAUUUAUUCACCUAAUAGUAUACAAAACCAUUGACAUGUUAGUCAAUUACAAAACACUUAUAACUUACAGAAUCCAAAAACCAUUGUGGAAAUAAUUCACGGUGUUUCCGGGCAACCAACUGUGAUGGAUGUUCUCGCUUCAUCAUCUGUUCAUGCUCAUCUAAGUAGGCCAUUAUCUCAUCACAAUUGUUCAGUACGAACCAAUGCGCUACCUCCAUCUCAUUUCUAGAAAACGACUCUCCUCGUCCAGGAUCUCCAAAUGGUCGUGCGCUUUGGGCAAAAACAGAAAGUUUUUCAUUUCUCAUACCUCCGUCAUUAUUGCGUUGAGGACGAUUGAAAACCGUCUCCACAUCUUUUAAAUACAUUCCACAGAAAGUAAGCGACUCAUAUUAAACCCAAGCCUCUAUAAUUGAUCCUUCGGGCUUUGCCCUGUUGCGUACACUUUUUUUGCAGCUCUCCGAGAAGCCUGCCAAAAUAAAACGAUAUGAUACAAAUUAGCAAAGUGUCGAUAAUGAUGCAUACACAAAUGAUAAAGAUUAUAUACCUUUCUAUUGGAUACAUCCAGCGAUAGUUGACAGGACCAGCAAGCAAUGCCUCUUCUGGCAAGUGAACCAUCACGUGCAUCAUACUUGUAAAGAAAACUAGAGGAAAUAUCAUCUCAAACUUGCAUAGGACUUGGACAAUGUCAUGGCGCAACUGAAACAUGUCUGUCUUUCGCAAUGUUUUUGCCGUCAGUUGGGAAAAAAAUCUGGAUAACAACAUGAUUGGCUUCACUACAUCUUCCGGUAGUAGGUGUUGAAUACCCACAGGAAGUAGGCGUUACAUAAACACAUGGCAGUCAUGGCUCUUAAGUCCAGUAAAUUUACCCCCAACGACAUUCACGCAACGUCCGAUAUUAGAAGCAUACCCAUCGGGAAAUUUGACAGACGAUACAAACUUUAGAAACUCUUUUUUGUCAUUCGGUUUCAUAGAAAAGAAUGCAAGAUCCCUUCUAGCUUUAUCACUGUUCCUAUUCAUCCAUAAACCCCUUCGUAUGCCCAUUCUUUCCAAAUCAAGACGAGCUUUGAUCGUGUCCUUCGUCUUCCCCUCGAUAUCUAGAAUCGUGCCCACCAAUGUGUCGAAUACAUUUUUCUCAACAUGCAUCACAUCUAGAUUGUGCCUCAAUUUCAGUUUCGACCAAUAUGGGAGCUCAAAAAACAUAGGCUUGUGCGUCCAGUUCAAAUGUGUAGAAGGUCUAGUCCGACUAACUGUUUUCCCGAACGGAGCAAAAUCCAAACGGUUCAGCUGUUCCAAGAUCUCAUCACCGGACCAUUCUCUAGGUCUGAGGCGACGCUCUGUGUUCCCGUCGAACUCUUUAUCUUUUUCUCGCCACUCGUGGUCCCAUGGCAACCAUCUCCGAUGACCAAGAUAACAAACUUUUCCCGCGUGCUAACCAGAAGUUACAUCUUCCUUGCAUACAGGACAUGCCAUAUAACCCUUUGUGCUCCACCCAGGAACCAUUGCAUAUGCUGGAAAAUCAUUCACAGUCCACAUAACUGCUGCUCGCAAAGUGAACAUCCUCCCAGUUGAUUUAUCGUACGUGCGAACACCGUUUGUCCAUAAAUCCUUCAGCUCAUCAACCAGAGGCCUUAAGUACACAUCAAUUGACCUGCCAGGAUCCUCAGUUAUCAAAACAGUCAUCAUCAUGUAUUCUUUUUUCAUGCAUUUCCAAGGCGGCAAAUUAUAUGGGAAUGCGAAAAUCGGCCAAGUGCUGUGGUGUUGGUUUAGAACCCCAUACGGAUUGAAUCCGUCAGUGGCAAGUCCCAAUCUAACAUUUCGGGGAUCAGCAGCAAACUCGGGGAACGUUCGAUCGAACUCUUUCCAUGCCUCCCCAUCUGCAGGAUGCCGCAUCACAUCAUCGUCUACCCAUUUUUCCUUAUGCCAUCUCAUGUCUGUGGCAGUAUGCGUCGACAUAUACAAUCGCUGCAACCCAGGUUUAAGGGGCAGAUAACGCAUGACUUUUGGUGGUAUCUUAGUCGUUCUAUUCUGGGAUGUCAUUUUGAACCUCGACUCAUUGCAUAUAGGGCAUGUAUCCAACGUUUCAUGCUCUUUGUAGAAUCACAUGCAAUUGUUUUUGCAAACGUGGAUUUUUUCAUAACCCAAUCCAAGAUCAUGCAACACCUUCUGUGCAUGUUUAUGGUCUUUCGGCAAACAAGUGUCUGUCGGAAGCAUUCUCUUGAAAACCCCCAAAAAGUAAUUGAAACACAAGUUCGACAUACGAUACUUUAUUUUUCCGUGCAUUAGCUCCACAAUGGCAGUGAGAACGGAAAAGCUCUCGCACCCCGGGUAUAACUCUUGGUUGGCAUUUUUUAACAGUUUUUCAUACUGUUCAAACUCCGCACUGUCUAUUGGUGUAGGCACGUCAUCUUCCCCUUCCUGAUUGAUGUUGGUCGACGCGAAUGGAAAAGCAUCUUGUAUAAUACCCAUGACUUGAUCAUUAGGAUCCAUAAUAGGUUCAACAUUGUCCACUCUUGGGGCAUUUGAAGACAAAGCAUGCUCUACUUGUUCGCCGUGAAGGUUCCAAAUGCUAUAUGUUUCAAUCAUUCCAUUCCUUACUAAAUGAAAUCCAACAUUUUCAAUUGUCUCCCGCAACAUGUUGUUACACCUCCUACAAGGACAACGGAUUCUAGUUGCACCCGGGUUGUGUCUACGUGCAAACUCAAUAAAAUCCUCGAUUCCAUCCAAGUAUUCGUCUGCGCAUCUAUUCUGGUUCUGUAUCCACUUUCUGCUCAUAAUUCCUGAAAUCACAAUCACGACACAACAAUCACAACAACUUCAUACGAAGUUAUAAUGUCACCUUAUGCCUCCGGUAAGGGCCCUAUCCCAUUCCGGAAUGCAUAGUCCUGUCACGUAACCUACGGCUACAUGAGAUUAGAUUUCGACGUGGAUUAAUUUCGGCAGCAUCUCGACACAGUUCUUGAAGUGGGCAUAGGUAUAAAUACCUACGUACCACCCGAAGAACGUACCGAGAUGACACCGAAAUCUCCACAAUCGAAACCUAAUCCUGUAGCCGAAGAUUAUGUGACAACACUAUGCAUUACCAAACUGUCCAAAUAAUGGGACAAUUCAAGAAUUAAUUGGACCGCAGUCAUGCCUUACGCAUCCAUGCACGAAAUCCAACUAAUCUUGAACGGAAAACUACGUGUGACUAAACAUAAAAAUAAAAGUACAAAGUUAAUUUCAAUUAACUUCGUACAUCACAACACAUUGUGCUACGUCACGCACAAUUUCACAACAUUAUACACAUAUAACUUCACAAAAAAAUUACAAACAUAACAAACAAACUUUUACAAUAACAUACCUUCUCAAUCGUUCUCCACCAAUCACUAAUCACAAAUAUCCCUAACAAGAACAAAAUUAAUAGCGUUAGUACGAAUUUACAUUAAUACAUUUAAACUAACGACAAAAAAUACAUACCCAAUGAACGUACUGAAUUCACAGCAGAGCAGCGGCAGGGGGAGUGAGAGAGAGGCAGAAUGCAAUUUUUGCAUUCUGCCUCUGCAAUGGCAGAUACUAAUAUGAAGAAGAAGGACUUUGCGCGACGAACAACUAAAUUCGUCGCGCAAAAUGCCGUCGCAAAAACCCACUUUUUCGUCACACAAAACAACAUUUCCGUUGCGCAAUUACAUGUCGACAUCUGCUUUUUUGCGCGACGAACAAUAUGAUUUGUCGCACAAACUUUCGUCGCGCAAAUAAUAUUUUUCGUCGCGCAAAGUUUACAUUCCGUCGCGCAAAUUAUUCAUAUCGUCGCGCAAGAACGCACCGGCAUUAAACUGUACGCGACGAAGAAAAAUCCGUCGCGCAAAAAAAAUUUAUCCACCCUUCAUUUUGGCGCCAAAAAUAAUUAUCCCUCGUUUUCUUACGCGACGGUACAUUUUUUUCAUCGCGCUAAGUUUUCUUUUGAGACGAAAACUCUCGUCGCGCAAAUUUUUUUACCGCCAAAAAAAGGAGCCAAUUUUCUGUCCAUCUUUACGCGAUGAACGCUUAGAAUUGUCGCGCAAUAUUGUCAUGCGCGACGAUUUUUGUCGUCGCGCAAGAUUUUGGCGCAAAAAAAAAACCCGAGUUUUUAUCCACUACCUUUGCGCGACGAAAUUAAUUUAGGUCGCGCAUUGAUGGUUUGCGCGACGAACCUGUUUGUCGCGCUAGUUUUCUGUUGUUUGCGCGACGGAAUUUUUUUUCGUCUCAAUAGUUCUUUUUGCGCGACGAAAAAAUAUUCGUCGCGCAAAUAUUAAAUCGUAGUAGUGUGUGAAUGCCAUGGAUUUAGUUGAAUUAUGUAAGCAACAAUUCCAGAAGAUGAGGGAGAAUGGAUGAGAUUCUUUGUUGGAGGAAGUUUCUAUUUUUUGCAGGAAUCAAAGUAUUGAUGUUCCUAACAUGAUGAUAUGUUUCUAGCUCGAGGGAGGUCACGACGCAACGGUCCAAAAAUCACAAAUAUGCAUUAUUAUCGUGUUCAUUUUUUCUAUGAAGUGAUAGCUUUGCAACUCCAAGAGCUGAAUAGUCGUUUCAAUGAGGCCAACACUGAGUUGUUACUUUGCUUGGCAUGCUUGAGUCCAAAUGAUUCAUUUUCUUUUUUUGAUAAGCAAAAGCUCAUUCGGCUUGCUCAACUUUACCCGAAUGAUUUUUCUACACAAGAACUUGAGGUACUUAAAGAUCAACUUCAAACUUAUAUUGAUGAUAUGCAUUCCAACACCAACUUUUCAGAAUUACAAGGUAUUGCUAUUCUUGCAAAAAAAAAACUAGUUGAGACAAAAAAGGACAAGAGGCAUAUCCACAAGUUUAUCUUCUCAUAAAAUUGGCGUUAACACUUCCAGUUGCAACAGCUUCAGUAGAAAGGGCAUUCUCUGCUAUGAACAUUGUGAAGAACAGAAUGCGUAAUCGAAUGGGAGACGAAUGGAUGAAUGAUUGCAUGGUAGUAUAUCUUGAAAAAGACAUAUUUAAUAGUAUUGAUAAUGAGCUUAUUAUGCAACGUUCUCAGAAUAUGAAAAGUCAUCGAGGACAAUUGUAAAUUUACCUAUUAAACAAUGCUAUUAAUAUUCAAAGUUUGAAAUAUUUUUUGUUUGAUUAUAUAAUGGUUAAAUUUUUUUAAGCCCCCAGAUAAACGAAAGUCUGGGUCCGCCACUGGGCACCACUUGCGCCACCCCAGGGCCGCCAUCAACAAGAUGCUCAUCUUUAAGAUAUUUUCCAUUCAGAGUCUGCAUAGCCAUGACUUGCUGAAUAAGUCUUCACAUUGUUGUGUCCAACAAAGCCUGGCUCAUCAGACUUGAUUUCUUUAACCCCAAAACCCAUGGCUUUGGUCUCAGAAAAUUCCCAAAACAUAGUCCAACAACUCAAGUUUAAUGCAAAUGUUAGGUCUACAGCUACAUGUUACAAUGUAUAUAUCUAUCAUGUACCAUGUGUUUUAGUAGUCUAAAAGGUAUUUUGGGAAUUAGACGACAUAGAAGCACAAUGUCCUACCCUAAACCAAGAAAUGCAAAAACAAAAAAAACAUAAUGGAUAUCUAUCUUUACUUGUUUAUUUUACUAUAAUUUUUCAAGUACAUAGACAGAAUUUCUAGGGGGAGUAAAAACAUGCAUCUUUCUUUACACUAUAUCGGUAUUUAACAAUGUAUAGUGAAAUCUACUGAACGCGAUCAUGGGAAAGGGAUUUAAUAAACCCGUCUAAGCUGAUGACGUUCUCUCUCUUUAAAAACUGGGAGUACCAGUGAGCAGAGAGUUUGGGUUGUCUUCUUAAAUCGGGGUCAUCCAAAUCGAUGUAGUAGAGGCCGUAGCCCGAUUCAUAGCCGUCCAACAGCUCAAGGGAAUCCAAGAAGGACCAUAUAAAAUAGCCUCUGACGUUUGAUCCAUUCCUUCCAGAGUAAAUAUUUCAUAGCAUCCAUUAGUAAUUUAAACACAGGUAUUAUAUCUUUCCGCAUCUCAUAAACACCUUUAUUUGGACUUGGCCAGUUAGCCUUUACAAAAUGGAGAGAACAUGAUAAAUCAUAUAACUGUAGGCUUAAAUUAUAAUCGACAGAAAAUAGGUAUACCUUACAGCUUCAAGCAAAUUUUGGAUGUGUCCGUCCAAAUAUUUCACCCUUGGCCAAUCCUCUAAUGAUGAAUUGCGUCGAGUUCGUUGACCUAAGAUAUAUUGGAUGCCAGACUUUUUUUAGUAAAAUUUCACCAUUUUGAAGUGUUGAUGCGAAAAAGUGGUUCGGCACGUGUUUCGCCAACUUAGUGAUGUUAUGCCUGUAGUAGGUCACUGUCUUCGGAAGGUGUUCUACUUCGGAAGGGUAAGUACCUACAAAAGGACACGUUCGGUAAGUCCUUGGGGUAUCGGUAUGGUACCGGCCGAAGGCUCUCCGAUGCUUUAGUAAGUACGAUUUUAGUAAUGUUAACUGACAGAUCAAUCGGUAGCGUAUCGUUAGUUCGGAUUUUUUUCCUUUUGGGGAUAAGGGUCUCCUUAUAUAGGCCUUGGGAGGUGUGCACUGUGCUCAUAUUUCCGAUGUGGGACUGUGGACAUGGAUUGUGAGCAUGGCACGUGUCCGAUGGUAAAAAGGGCCAAGAUAGAUGGCUUCGGUAGGAAGCGUGCCGAAGGCGUUUCUGCAGCCAAAAUCGAUCCUGUCCACGUGUUCGGUUGUCAUAGGCCGUUUAUCUCCGGUAUAAACAGUAGUCCCCCAAGUUCUCUUCCGAAGGUCCUUUGGAAGGGAAUUUAGUUCUCUGCUGCGGUUCGGAGGUUGACCUGCCGUUCGGUAGGCUCGUUGGGGGAGAUUGACCUGGGACUCGAGGGGUCGUCGAUGCUGAGAGGCGAGAGGGCAGAGAGACGCUUCGUCUUCCGUGCCUGGCGUGCAGUCGGCGGCGCCAUUCGUCGGGUGACGCGUGGCCAACAAAAAGCACGUCUGACGGCGCAUUAAAGAGCCGUUUAUUUGUAAUAGUUGUAUUAGUUUUUUUUUUCUAUUUUUAUUUCAUGUACCGAACAUAUUGAUGCCGAGGGCAUCUUUAAUUCAAAUGCAUAUUUUUAUCUACUGUUGUUUGAACAAUCUGAACACGUUUUUAAAUUGCCGAUCGUACUUAUCGCCGAAAGGCUCCGUAUAGGAUUUAUAACAUUAAAGGGAUACUUCGAAAUUGAUAAGUUCCGAUGGAAUCUGUAGGGUAACAAUUUCGAAAAAUAUUUAUUGCCGUAGGCUAAUAAAUAUGCCGUAGAACGUUAACUUGCCACAUUGGCCGCCGUGGGCUAGUAGAGUAAUUUUAAAAAGAGCAUCUGAAGUAAUAGUGCCGAAGGCUUUCUAUUAAUUUCUGCCGAAGGGCAAAUACAUUUCAAUCAGUUACAACUUUGUCCUACCGUAGGCUAGGUUACUUGAAAUAGUAUUUGAGAUGUUCCACGUUCCAAGGAUGACCGAGGGUCUUGCCGUUGGAGUCUCUUAGGCGGUAGGUUCCCGAUCGAAGGAUACCGAUGAUCUCAUAGGGUCCUUCCCAGGAAGGUCCGAGGGUUCCUUCCGUGGCAUCCUUGGUUGCUAGGGAUACCUUCCGCAUGACCCAGUCUCCGAUUCGGAAUGAGCAGUGUCUGACCCUGGAGUCAUAAUACCGAGAGACACGUUGCUUGUAGGCUUCAUUUCGAAGGUUGGCAUGUGCCCGGUGCUCUUCAAGAAGGUCGACACUUAGAGAAAGUGCUUCUUCAUUCGGCUUCGGUGCGAAGUUUUUCGUUCGGUAGGAAGAUUCGCCAAUUUCCACAGGCACCACAGCUUCCGAACCGAAAGCCAAAGAGAAAGGGGUCUCUCCCGUGGACGUUCGGUAAGAUGUCCGAAUGGCCCAGAGUGCUUCGGGAAGCUUUUCUGGCUAGGCUCCUUUGGCUUUGUCCAGCUGCCGUUUCAGUAGUUUCUUGAUGAUUUUGUUUAUUGCUUCCACCUGACCGUUUGACUGGGGAUGGGCUGGUGAUGCGAAAAACAAGUUGAUUUUCAGGCAGGUGCAAAAUUGCCUGAAGAGUUCCGAAUCGAACUGCCUGCCGUUGUCGGUAAUGAUUUCAUACGGGAUACCGAACCUGCAACAAAUGUGAGUCCAGACGAAGUCUUCCACUCUUGCUGCCGUUAUGGUUGCCAGAGGUUCGGCUUCUACCCACUUGGUGAAAUAGUCGACGGCGACCACUGCGUAUUUCACCUGGCCUUUGCCCUGCGGCAUCGGACCAAUCAGGUCCAGUCCCCAUUAUGCGAAAGGCCAAGGACUCACGAUCGGUGUCAGAGGUUCGGCAGGGAUGUGCGGUAUGCUACCGAAACGCUGGCAUUUAUCACACUUUUUCACUAGCGAAUUAGCAUCCUGGUGCAUGGUCGGCCAAAAGUAUCCCUGUCGAAAGGCUUUGUGGGCGAGUGACCGGGACCCGGAAUGAUUGCCGCACACACCGUUAUGGAUCUCCCGAAGGACGUAGUCCCCCUGUUCUGCCGUAAGGCAUUUGAGAUAUGGAGUUGUGUAGCCACGUUUGUACAGGACGUCGUUGAUGACGGUGUACCUUGCUGAUCGGUACCUAAGCUUUCGGGCCUGGGCCUUGUCUUCUGGAAGGGUGCCGUUGGUCAAGUACGAGUAGAUAGGAGACAUCCAUGUAUCUUCGUACCGUACGGUACAUGUUUCGGCGGCUACCGUGCUUGGUUGGGCAAGAAUCUCCACUGGCACCUUUCUUCCGAUUUUGUCGUUGAUUGCCGAAGCCAGACGUGCCAAUGCAUCGGCAUGGCUAUUUUUGCUCCUGGGGAUCUGCUUGAUCUUGUAAGCUCGGAAGCUUUGGAGCAGCUGAUGGGUAGACGAAAGGUAGGCGUGCAUGGAGGCGUUUCUGGCCGCGAAGUCUGCCGUUACCUGGUUCACAAUGAGCUGGGAGUCGCUGUGAAUUCUGAUUUGUUUGGCAUUCAUGCUCUUGGCUAACCGAAGGCCGGCCAAGAGAGCCUCAUAUUCCGCUUCAUUGUUGGAGGUUCGGAAGUCGAAUUGGAGGGCGUACUCGAUCUUGAGUCCGUCCGGUGUCGUCAGUACCAAGCCUGCUCCGCACCCUUGUUGGUUUGCCGAGCCGUCGACGUGCAGACUCCAUACGGGAGUUGAGGCGUCAAAGUGUUCGGUGUCAAGUUCCUCCGGCAACCCGGUCUCGGGUAUCUCCUGUGCUGUUGAUGGGGUGAGCUCGGAGAUGAAAUCGGCAAUGGCUUGACCCUUUUCGGCGGGCCUUGGCAUGAAUUGUAUAUCGAACUAUCCGAGUUCGAUCGCCCACUUGAUCAAUCGGCCAGAAGUCUCUGGUUUUUGGAGCACCUGCCGGAGCGGUUGGUUAGUCAGAACUUUGAUCCCGUGUGUUUGGAAGUAUGGCCGAAGUCUUCGUGCCGAGACCACCAGGGCUAGUGCAAGCUGCUCUAAUGGGGGAUACCGAAGUUCAGCACUCUGGAGUGCCUUACUGACAUAGAAAAUCGGUAGCUCUGCUUUUUCUGGUUUUCGAAUCAACACCGAACUGACAGCAGUGCUAGAUACCGAAAGGUAUAGGGAGAAAAUCUCCCCAGGUAGUGGUUUUGAUAAAAGGGGUGCUUUACCCAUGUAGUCCUUUAAGUCUUGAAACGCUUUAUCACAUUCGGCAGUCCAUAUGAUAUUCCGUUUGCCCCCUUUCAAGGCUUUAAAGAAUGGUACACAUUUGUCGGUGGCCUUGGAUAUGAAGCGAGUCAAGGCCGCCAUGCGUCCGGUAAGGCUUUGAAUGUCCUUCGUCGUCUUCGGCCUCUCCAUGUCGAUGAUUGCCUUUAUUUUUUCGAGAUUCGCUUCGAUACCCCUGUGACUAAUCAUGAAUCCGAGGACUUUCCCGGAAGAUACACCGAAGGCGUAUUUCAUCGGGGUCAGCCUCAUCCGGUAGUCUUUCAGUAUGCCGAACAUGAUUGACAAAUUGUGCAGAUGUUCUUUGGCAGUUCUGCUCUUGACCAACAUGUCAUCGACGUAAACCUCCAUGAUGCUGCCGAUGUAUUUGGCAAAAAUUCUGUUGACAAGCCUUUGAUAUGUUGCCCUCGCGUUCUUCAGGCCGAACGUCAUGACAUUGUAACAGUACAACCCUCUGUCUGUUAUGAAGGCGGUUUGUUCGCUGUCGGAAGGGUGCAUGAAUAUCUGAUUAUAUCCCGAAUAGGCAUCCAUGAAGCUGAGCAGUUCGUGUCCGGCGGUGGCGUCCACGAGCUGGUCUAUCCGUGGCAACGGAAAGCUGUCCUUUGGGCAGGCCUUGUUCAGAUCAGUAUAGUCUUGGCACAUUCGCCACCCGCUUGUAGCCUUCCGGACCAUCACUGAAUUUGCCAGCCAUACCGGAUACGUAGCCUCCCUGAUGAAGCCGAUGGUUUGAAGUUUGUCAACCUCCUUACGCAUGGCUUCGUAUCGCUCGGUAUCGUACGAACGGCGCUUCUGUCUUACAGGCUUAUAAGCGGGAGAGAUGCUGAGUUUAUGGCUGAUGACCUCUGGAGCGAUGCCGGGCAUGUCUUCGUAGGACCAUGCGAAUACUUCCGAAUGGUUCCGCAAGAAAUUUAUGAAUUACGUUCGGAGGGCAGGAGUGAGUCUGGUGCCGAUUCUAACCUGACGAUCGGGCUGCCCCUCGCUCAAGGUUAUCGUCUCCAGUUCUUCGGCGGGUUGUGUGUGAGGAGUCGGGGACUCAUCUCUUGGGUCGUCAACUGGUCCUGUACCGUUCGGUACCCCUUGGAUAGACAUGGUUUCGUCGGGGAGUUGGAAAGAGGUUGACUUUAGGGCCGUGGCGUAGCAAGUCCGCGCGCUUAGCUGAUUUCCCCGGACAGCCCUUGUGCCGUUAGGGGUCGGGAACUUCAUCAAUAGCAUGUGGGGGGAAAGAUGUGCCUUGAUCCUGGUGAGUGCCGUUCGUCGAACUAUAACGUUGUACGCUGUCGGGCAAUCAACGAUCAGGAACUGAUCGUAUACCGUCGUUUUUCUUGGCGCGGUGCCGAAGGUAAUUGGUAGUUUUACACUACCGACCAGUUGGACCAGGUCCCCAGAGAAACUUAACAAAGGCGUCAACUGCCGGUUGACCUGGCUGUCCUUUAUCCCCAUUUCUCGGAAAGCUUCGGCAAAUAUCACGCUCACGGAGCUUCCGAUAUCGAUCAGUACCCAUCCUACAUCGUAGUCGGCAAUUUCUGCUCGAAUGAUCAUCGAGUCGUCAUGGGGAUAGAGGAUGCCCUCUUCCUCCUCUUCGCAAAAUGUGAUUGGUUCCCAAUGAACUUUCGGUAUUUCAGGGUGCCGAUUCACCUCUAUGCCGAAUACUUGCGGAAAUUGUGCGGCGCGCACGUAUUCUUCAUUGAAUGGUUGCUCAUUCCUGCGAUGGUGGGGCCACCGCUGAUAGUGCUUAUCAUGUUUAUCUGCCGAAUUGGAUUCGGCAUCGGCGCCGGUGGCUGCCGGGCGAUGUACUGAUCUAGCUUCCCCUCUCUGAUCAACCGUUCGACAAUCUUUCUUAGGCUUAUACAGUCUUCCGUAUUAUGACUGUUGUGCUGAUGGUAUCGGCAGAAUUUACCGGUAUCCCGGUUGUCUUGCCGAUUGGGUCUUCGCAGAUUGGGCUUUGGUAUUAUUUUUUGUUCGUUCAUCAGAACGGCCUCGUAGGUAGUGUUUAAUAGGGUAAAGACUUGGUUGCCGUGGUCAUGAUUCGGCAGGGGCGCCCGGUUGUCGUUGCGUCCAUAUCUCCCCUUUUCCUUCUUCGGGUGUUCUCUUCGAUCGGCACGGUCGUCUUUCCUCUUAUGACCUGCCAAAUAUGGGUCGACUCUCUCGUAGGGUGGCGCCUUCGCCGGAUAAGCACUUGGUUCAGUAUCCCCUUGCCGUGCCGAAACCCCGGGUUUCGAGUUGAAGUAUUCGGCUUUGGCAUGGAUUGCUGCCUGCUUCAUCAGUUCGUCGUACGUGCGCCAGUUGCUGCUGUGUACUAGGUAUCGGAAAUGCGAGGACCGAAGGCCACUCUUGAAGGCGCUGUACGCUGGCCUAUCGUCUGUUUCUGGACACCCUGAGUAUUCGUGGCUGAAGCGCGCCGCGUAUUCUCUCAACGGUUCAUCCUCUCUUUGUCGAAUCGUGUACAGAUCAUCGGCAGAGUAAAGACGGUCCGUCUGGAUCAUGAAGUGAUUGAGGAAAAUCUGCUUCAGCUCGUCGAAAAAGUCUACUGUCUCCGGCUCCAACUGGUAGAACCAGUUCAGGGCUGCUCCGGUAAGGGAAGACGGGAAUAGCAGGCACUGCGCUUCAUCGCUCAGGCCCUUGCAUCCAAUGGUGGACUGAAAUGAGUGGAGGUGUGUUAAGGGGUCCUCCGUUCCCGUAUAGAACGGUAUACGCAGUUGCUGCACUUCCCUAUCCUGCCGAGAGUCCCGGAUACGCCUGGUGAAUGGUCCGGGCCGAAGCUUUCCCCAUUCCGGUUCUUGGGAACGAGCUUUGUCAUUUUCCAUUUUCUGGACUUUCUGAAAAAGUAGUCGGACAACAGGGUCUCGGCUAGGGAUUUCCUCGGAACCAUAAUCUUCCGAUCGUCUUUCUAGACUUAAUGAAUUAACCCCCGAGUACCGUGAAGGCGUUGCCGAACGGUACGUGGACGUUUGCGUCCUGGAAGGGAUAUAUUCGGAUUCUGACUCCUCUGCGGUGUCCAGCCCUCUGACCUUCCGAAUAGGCGACUUGUCUCCUAGGAUUUUCUUCCGUGAGUCCCUCUGUCGAGCGCUAAUCCUGAUCGGAGACCUCCGUCUCUCUGCCUCCCGAUCGUUAAUCCGAUGUCGACAAUCGGAAUAUACUUUCUUUGGGACGUGUGGCUGAUCCCUGGGUGCCGGGACCACCAGCUGUUUGGAAGGUGCGGGCGUUGCCUUCGCUACCUUAUCGUGUUUCUUCUUCCUAUGAUGGGUCUAAAAGCUCUCGAAAGAGUGAGUUGUCUGGAUGUUUAGCGUGUGCUGCUGGUGGAGCAGCUGCUGGGUUUCGUCCACUUUGGACGAAAGAAGGUUGUUGUGUUCCUGAAGCCUUGCCAUGUCCUUCCGUAGGGACGCGAUUUGGGCUACCAGCUCGGCUUCGGCGGUUGUUUGGGUUGCGGGGGCGUUUCCGAAGGGAGUGCAUGGGGGUAGCGCUGGGCUAGCUCCGCUCUGCCUUCCGAACGGUACCCCUUCUUCCGAUAAGAACAUGGGUACUGAAGUGGUCCCCAUGUAUUUUGGAGAUAGUGGGUUGAUGAUUUUUCUGGAUUCCCACAGACGGCGCCAAACUGUUGAUGCGAAAAAGUGGUUCGGCACGUGUUUCGCCAACUUAGUGAUGUUAUGCCUUCGGUAGGUCACUGUCUUCGGAAGGUGUUCUACUUCGGAAGGGUAAGUACCUACAAAAGGACACGUUCGGUAAGUCCUUGGGGUACCGGUGUGGUACCGGCCGAAGGCUCUCUGAUGCUUUAGUAAGUACGGUUUUAGUAAUGUUAACUGACAGAUCAAUCGGUAACGUACCGUUAGUUCUGAUUUUUUCCUUUUGGGGAUAAUGGUCUCCUUAUAUAGGCCUUGGGAGGUGUGCACUGUGCUCAUAUUUCCGAUGUGAGACUAUGGACAUGGAUUGUGAGCAUGACACGUGUCCGAUGGUAAAAAGGCCCAAGAUAGAUGGCUUCGGUAGGAAGCAUGCCGAAGGCGUUUCUGCAGCCAAAAUCGAUCCUAUCCACGUGUUCGGUUGUCAUAGGCCGUUUAUCUCCGGUAUAAACAUGAAGAAUUUAUUUGUUUUGUCUUUUUGCUGCGUUAUGUUUUCUCACAUUAUAUAUGUCUUCAUAUAAAUGCAUUCUAGCAGUACUUUGAUUAAAAUUCACUAUUUAAGAGAGAGAGAGAGAGAGAGAGAGAGAGAGAGAGAGAGAGAGACCAUUUUCUUGGAUAUAUAUUGGAGGAUUUCCAUAGUUUUGCUUGACAUAUUCCAGCAGUCGUUGCAGGCCCCAGGGAGUUAUUGGAAACUGAAAUCAAAGAAACCGAUCAGUAUUAAGGCUCUGAAAUUAACCCCAUAAGCAGUGAAUUGAUUACGUUCAAGCUUCUACCUCAAAUGUUGUAUCAUUUUGUAGACCUGCACGGGAAAUUUAAGAAAGUUUGUAUCACAUGAACAGUGCACAAAUAUUCCUUGCGCAAUGAACAAAAGAAAAAAAUUGAACAAUGCACAAACAACCAUCACAAACACAAAAAAUGAACAUUGUGAUUUCCAAAUAUCUUCAUAGAGGCUAAUUUUGUUUAUGAUAUGCUUUAGCAUAUUUCGGUCAUUCAUAUCAUAUUUGGGACUACACACCUCUUGUCUAUGCAGUGUCUGCUUGAAAUGCUGAGUUUUCUACGGUUUGCGCUGUACUUUUAUUUUUAGUAACAAAGGAAAAGGAAAAGAAAAAGAAAAAGAAAAAGGCAUCAGCAUGGUACAGAAAAUUCACAAAUUUGAACAGAAAAAGGCAUCUGUAUACAUACUACAUCAGUUUUCUCCCUGCACAACAUGCAUCCUUUAAAGAAAGGACAUCCCAGUAAAAUAUUUCUAACAUAAUAUCUCUUUAAUUUUUUUUAUCAACGCUACUGGAGCAUUGUAGGGGACAAGGUGUCACGCAAGUGCUUGCAGAUAUUGAAUGGAGAAAUGUAAGUGGUGAGUUGAUAAGAAUGUAAUUAGGCCUCUAAGCUAAAUGGUGUAUUCACUUUGUCACUAAGAUAGACAAGUGUUAGGCGUUAGUCAUGUUAAGUGGUUAUAGCCACGUGUAAAAAUCCUAGAGAGCAGUUUUGGAUGUAAGGCUGUGAUUCUCAGUGAUGUAAGAGAAUCCAACUAUUCUUUCAUACGGUUAUAGCUCACACUGAGCUUGCUCUAUUGAGUACAGAGUAUGCAAUAGAAAAAUACACACUUGUUUUGAUUCAGUCAAGCUCACUACUCUCUCUGUGUUUUCCUUCCUCCUUCAAUCUAUUCAAAACUCUAACAUGGCCUCAGAGCCAGGUUGGGUCUUUUGAUCUGGGCGUAAUCUGUGAGGUCACUGAGCUCAAUCGAAGCUCAGCUAAGCAUCUGAGAAGAGAAAUUGUUUGAUUCAGACCAAAAGAUGGCUGGAUCUGGAAGUUCAGAAGUAAGAACUCCGAUCUUCUCCGGUGAGAACUACGAGUUCUGCAGGAUUAAGAUGGUGACGAUCUUCAAAUCUCUUGGGCUAUGGAGUCUGGUAGAAAAGGGGAUUUCAACCCCUGAUUCGAAGAAGAAGAUGACAAAAGUUGAAGAAUCAUCAGAAGAAGAAGUUGAUGCAGAAAUGUUUGCUGUGCUCAUUAAGGACCCAAAGGCUCUGGGCAUUAUACAAAACGCAGUUUCUGACCAGAUCUUCCCUCGGAUUGCAAAUGCCAACUCAUCUAAAAUGGCAUGGAAUCUACUCUACAGUGAUUACCACGGUGGUGAUCAGGUCAGAUCUGUAAAACUUCUGAAUCUCAAACAGGAAUUUGAGAAUAUGAGAAUGCGUGAAGGUGAACAACUAACUGCAUAUCUUACUCAAUUAAAUGAAUUGAUAAAUCAAAUGAAAACGUUUGGAGAAGUGUUAUCAAAUGAGAGGCUGGUUCAAAAGUUGUUAAUCAGUUUUAGUAGAGUGUAUGAUCCCAUCUGUUUGGUGAUCGAAAAUACAAAGAGUUUGGAGACUAUUGAAUUGCAGGAGGUUAUUGCAAUAUUGAAGAGUCAAGAGCAAUGUUUUGACAUGCAUAAUGUGGACAUAGCUGAGAAGGCAUUUGGCUCUUUCUCAGUCGAUACAAAGGGCAGAACAAGAAUAAUACUCAAACUGAUUCUACUAAGUCUUAGAAGAAUUGGAAGUCUAACAACAAACCAUGGGAGUCUAAACAGAAGCCACAACAAGCUGGUGCUACACAGACCUCAAAUGGAUCACAAUAUGUGCAUCAAGAUGGAGAGAAGCCUCAAUGCAAAGUAUGCUCUAAAUUUCAUUUUGGAGAAUGUAGAUAUAAGGGCCAAUCUAAGUGCUAUAAGUGUGAUAGGUUUGGACAUUGGGCUAGGGACUGUACUGCAAACAAAGGAGUGUAGAAAGCAAAUAAUGCAAGUCAAGUAGAAGUAAUAGGGAAUCUGUUUUUUGCAAACUGUCAAUUUCAGAGAAGAGUGCAAAUAGAGAAUGGUAUGUAGACAGUGGUUGCAGUAACCAUAUGACUGGGAACAAGGAGCUGUUAAUUGACAUAAAUUCAAGUGUCACAGGCAAGGUGCAAAUGCCAACAUGAGAGCUUGUAAGUAUAGCUGGCAUGGGUACUUUAGUGCUUGACACAAGCUCUAGUACAAAGUAUAUCAGAGAAGUCAUGUAUCUACCUGGUUUGAAGGAAAAUCUGUUGAGUGUAGGCCAAAUGGAUGAACAUGGUUAUCAUUUGGUAUUUGGAAGCAGCAUGUGCAGUAUCUAUGAUGGUUCUUCUCUCAAGAAUCUCAUCAUGAAGGUGGAAAUGAGGAAAAAUAGGUGUUAUCCAUUAUCAUUGCCCUCAAAUGACUAUGUUGCACUAAGAGCUAGUAUAUCCAAUUCUACCUGGAUUUGGCAUAAAAGAAUGGGCCAUUUGCAUCUGAAAGGUCUACAUCAGCUUAAGGAGAAAGAGAUGGUACAUGGUUUGCCAUACUUGGAGGAUGUAAAUGAAGUGUGUGGAGUCUAUCAACUGGGAAAGCAACACAGAGAGUGGUUCCCUAAGGAUCAAGCAUGGAGAGCAAGUACACCCCUUGAGCUUAUACACGUGGACUUGUGUGGACCAAUGCAAAAUGAGUCUCUAGCAGGUAAUAAAUAUUUUAUGCUGCUCAUAGACGAUUUUACAAGGAUGAUUUGGGUCUACUUCUUAAGAUACAAGUCGGAUGCAUUAAACUGUUUUCGAAAAUUCAAGUCUAUGGUGGAGUUGCAGAGUGGUUACAAAGUGAAAUGUGUUCGAAGUGAAGAGGGGGUGAGUUCACAUCUAGUGAAUUCAAUAAACUAUGUGAAGAUGCAGGAAUUCAAAGACAGUUCUCCAUGGCUUACACACCCCAGCAGAAUGGAGUGGUAGAAAGGAAGAAUAGGAUAGUGGUAGAGAUGGCUAAGGCUAUGUUACAUGAGAAGGCGUUGCCUUAUUACUUAUGGGUAGAAGCUGUACACACUGCAGUGUACAUUUUAAACAGGUGUCCUACUAAGGCUCUUAUAAACAAGACCCAUUUUGAAGCAUAUAGCACAAGAAAACCAGGUGUUGCUCAUUUGAAGGUAUUUGGUAGUGUGUGCUUUGUGCAUAAACCAGAAGAAAGUAGAGAGAAAUUGGAUGCCAAAAGCACAAGGGGAGUGUUUGUUGGAUAUGCAACAUGUGAGAAGGGUUAUAGAGUGUUUGAUCCUGUCACUAGAAAACUACUACUGUCAAGAGCCAUUGUAUUUGAUGAAGGAGCAAUAUGGAAUUGGAAGGAAGCAACUGAAAAUUCUGUGGUGAUGGUGAAUGAUGAAGAGCAGCCUAGGAAUUCUCAAGUGAAAUUGUUUGAAACACCUGUAGGAAAUCGAAAUUCUGGUUUCAUAUCUAUAGACUCAGUCUCCUAUGAAGAAUCAAGCAAGGCAAGCAGCAAAUUGGAAGACACUCAGAACUUCGAUCAUACUUCAUUGAAAUGAAGGAAGUUGGAUGAUAUCUUAGCACAAUGCAAUCUGUGCACAAUAGAGCCUGAGAAGUUUGAAGAAGCUGUGAAGGAUGAGUCAUGGAUGAAGGCAAUGAAAGAUGAGUUGAACAUGAUAGAAAAGAAUGAUACAUGGGAACUUGUUGACAGAUCUAUGGAUAAACCAGUGAUUGGAGUUAAAUGGGUGUUUAAAACUAAGCUAAAUCUGGACGGUUCAGUGCAGAAGAAUAAGGCAAGACUGGUGGCUAAGGGAUACUCACAAAAACCAGGGGUGGACUAAAAUGAAACAUUCGCACCAGUGGCUAGAUUAGACACAAAGUGGCAGCUGUAUCAAUUAGAUGUUAAGUCAGCUUUUCUAAAUGGCAUCUUAGAGGAAGAAGUGUAUGUAGAUCAGCCAGAGGGAUUUGUAGUGAAGGGUAGUGCAAGCAAGGUUUACAAGCUGCACAAAGCUCUAUAUGGCUUGAAACAGGCGCCAAGAGCUUGGUAUAGUGAAAUUGAUGGUUAUUUUGUUGAGUGUGGUUUCACAAAGAGCCAAAGUGAGGCUACUCUUUAUGUCAAAGCAAGAGGUGAAGCGAGCAUCUUGAUAGUAUCCAUUUAUGUAGAUGAUAUAGUCUACACUGGAAAUGAUCAAGAAAUGUUAGAAGACUUUAAGAAGGACAUGAAGGAGAAAUAUGAAAUGACUGAUCUGGGGCUCUUGCAUCAUUUCUUGGGAAUGGGUGUAAUUCAAACACCAACAAGCAUAUUCAUUCAUCAGAAGAAAUAUGCAACAAUUCUGUUAAGCAGAUUUGGUUUGAAUGAGUGUAAGCCGGUAGGGCAAUACAGAAGGAUUGUUGGAAGUCUGCUGUACCUCAAAGCUAUUAGACCCGACAUUAUGUUUGCAGCUAGUUUGCUUGCAAGGUUCAUGCAUUGUCCCACUAGCAAACAUCUUGGAACAGCAAAACGUGUUCUUAGAUAUGUAAAAGGAACUCUAGAUUAUGGUCUGGAGUAUGUGAAAGGAAAAGAGGCAGUCCUAAUUGGCUAUUGUGACAGUGAUUGGAGUGGUUCAGUGGAUGAUAGCAAGAGCACCUCUGGAUAUUCCUUUUCUUUUGGUAGUGGAGUGUUUGCUUGGGCCUCAGUCAAGCAAAAUUGUGUUGCACUCUCUACUGCAGAAGCGGAAUACAUCAGUGCCUUGGAGAACUUCAAACCGAAGCUACACCUUUACAUUGUGACAACAUUUCAGCUAUUGCCAUUACAAGGAAUCCUGUGUUUCAUCAGAAAACCAAGCAUAUCGAUCGAAGGUAUCAUUUUAUUAAAGAUGCUUUGCAAGAAGUAACUGUGGAUCUGAUUUAUUGUCCCACAAAUGAGCAGUUGGCAGAUAUCUUUACAAAGGCUUUGGCUAAGGAUCAUUUCUGCUAUCUCAGAGAGAAACUUGGUGUGAAAUCAGCUCACAACUUAAAGGGGAGUGUUGAAAUGUAAGUGGUGAGCUGAUAAGAAUGUAAUUAGGCCUCUAAGCUAAAUGGUGUAUUCACUUUGUCGCUAAGAUAGACAAGUGUUAGGCGUUAGUCAUGUUGAGUGGUUAUAGCCACGUGUAAAAAUCCUGGAGAGCAGUUUUGGAUGUAAGGCUGUGAUUCUCAGUGAUGUAAGAGAAUCCAGCUAUUCUUUCAUACGGUUAUAGCUCACAGCUCACACUGAGCUUGCUCUUUUGAGUACAGAGCAUGCAAUAGAAAAAUACACACUUGUGUUUUCCUUCCUACUUCAAUCUAUUCAAAACUCUAACACAGACACCCUCUAGAGUGACUGAAUUUAGACCAAAAAGCCUAUGUACAGCGAUUUACAAAAUUAUUGCAAAGGCUUUUGCAAAUAGACUCAAGUAAUUAAAGCGGUGGCUCCAGUUCUUCGUACAUAUACGAUGGAGUGUUCCAAUUGCCCCACAGUUUAUGUGUUAUCUGCAAUGAUUGCUAGGUUUUGGUGGGAAAAACAUGCUUUACACGCUUUAUGGAAUUGUAAACGAAGCAGGAAAUUAUGGAGCCUAACAUCGUUAAAACUUGGUAUUGGUGGAGCACGGGUAACUUUUGCAGAUUUUUCAGAGGUGGCUAUGCAUUCUUUGGCCCCGGUGGAGAUGGAUCAGUUUGCCUGUUGCGAGCAUGGAAAUUAAGGAAUGAUGAGCUCUAUGGAAAGCAGGGAUGUAAUUUUGUUGACCCGGUGGUGGUAGAGACUUCAGAUUACUUAGAACAAUUCAUGUAACAUUCAAUGCGCGUCAAAACCACCCCAAGUGGAGUGAUGGCGCUGGAUCAAAGCACCACCACAAUUCUUGCUAAUGUAUUGUGAUGGCACUACUGGCAAGGGAGGCAGAAGGCGAGGCCUAGGGGGGUUGGUGUGUGAUUCUGAAGGAAUCUUUAAAUGGGGUUUUGCUUGUGGGGGACCAGCCUGAGGUGGUGGUGGAUACUGAAUUGGCUGCUCUACGGAUUGGCUUGCAGCAUACGGUAGCAAGGGGUUGACAGGUCUUUUCAUAUUUACAGACUCACAAGAAGUGGUGAAUUUAUUGAAGGGAGAAGGAGAGUUGUGGUGCAACUUGGGGAAUCCAGUUGAGGAUGUAAAAUUUUCUUGGGAAAUAGCCCUAAAUGACACCCAUUUCAUAAUUUUAAUUAAAAAUACCAUCCUUUCCCAAUUUUUGUACAACUAUCACCUAUAAAUAUAAAAUUAUUGCCCACUUAUUGCUGAUUUUUCACAAGUUCAGAAAUUUUGGAGAGAAGAAGCUCACACAGCUCUCUCUCUCUCUCUCUCUGGCACAGCUCUCUUUCUCUUUGGUAUCUGUCUAUCACAGCUCUCUGUGUCUCUCUUGGCUCUCUCUAUCUUGGCUCUCUCUCUCUUGGCUCUCUCUCUGUCUCUCUAGCACAACUCUCUGUCUCUCUCUUUGCUCUGUUUCUCAUAGCGCAGCUGUCUCUCUCUAGCUUCGUUAUGUCCCUUUCUCCCCUAUUCGAUCUCUUGCUCUCUGUUUGGAAUCGCGAACCCCUCCCUUUAGCUAUGUCUUCUGAAUAGCUGCUUGCAACCUUGAAGCUCUACUGGAUUGCCGACCUCGAAAAGGUAGUGUUGAUGGUUAUUUUCUUAAUAUCAGUAUUAUGUGAAAUGGGUUAUAGUUUGAUUGUUUGGGUCUGUGUUAAAUUCGUUUUGGCUUUAAUUUAUUUGGGUUAGGUUUUGUUGAAUAUUCAUGCUCAUUCAUCUGGGUUUGUACCAAUUGCAUUUAGAUUGGUCUGGAUAUGUGAAUCUUGAAACUUGGGAAUUUCUAUUUGAUGUAGUAGAUCUGUAUAGUGUGAUUCUGAUGUGUUCCUCUUAUUUUACAGUCGUAUUGCUGUUAUAUUGCCAUUAUAUUGCCUAUAUAUUGCUGUUAUAUUGUGGUUAUAUUGCUAUUGUAUUGUAUGGUUAUUGUGGUUAUAUUGUGUGAAUGAAAUGUUGUUUUGUCAUGGUCAGAAAUGGAGACAAUUGUUAUUCUCGUGUGCUACAAUGGAAAAUGGGUCACCUCGAAGAAGAUGUGCAAAUACGAAGGGGGUGACUCAAAAGGCUUAAUAGUUCCACGGACCAUCAAUUUUGCUGAACUGUUGGACCGUGUGCAUCAGAUUGGUAAUACAAACAGCAGGGAAGACAAGGUUUGCUUAAAAUUCUCAGUUUUGGUGGCCUCGAAUGAGUGGAAGUGCAUAAAGAUUGAGGACGAUGAUGAUGUCAAUUUUUUUAUGAAGUACAAUUCCGAGGUAACACCUUCAAAACUAGCUCCCUUACUCAUGAGUAUAGAAGAUAAAGGACUGACAAAUGAUGUAGUUCAUAGUAUGCAUAUCACGACAGAUAGUAGUCGGAUGGGUCAUUCUUCAGUUGCCAUUGUUGAAAGCAAUGAAGUAACUUGGAAUAAUACAAAUGUCACUGAUUUGGGAGGUGAAGUAGGGACAGAUUUUAUGGAUAUGAUUGAUUUUAGCGAGGUGGAGGAGAUGCAUGGUGGUGAUAAUGGUACUGAAAGAAAUGAAGUGUAAGUGUACUCUGCCCCUCCUAAUUUGGGGUGCUUGAACACAGCUGCCCAGUUGCCAAAAAUACGUUUAGGAGGAGAAUCUGAACCCACUCGUCAACAUUAUUUUUGCCCAGUUGCCAAAAAUACAUAGAGAUACAAUUUUAUUGUUGUUAAUGUCAUGUUGUACUGCUGUAACUUACAGCCAAGGAGUUAAUGGUGUAGUUUUGAAUCCCAUCAAUUUAAUGCACCAACACAAAACCCAAUUUACCUCAUAUAAGUUCGUACAUAUAACUGAACCUUCCUAUAUAGAACUGCAACAGAGGCACCUUCUUAACGGGAAAGGUAAUUAGUCUUACUGAAAGGCAAAUAUUCUCCACUCAACCUAACCAUAUAGUCGUUUACAACUGGAGACUGAAUGUACCUCUAUUUGUUUGGUUGCAGGCAACAGCUGUGAAUUGUCCCCAGUAAUACUUCAACAUGUCAGAUGUACGCCCUCCUAACGAGCAUGUGAGUUACCCGGGGGACCAGCCCUGGCAUGUGCCAUUCCCAUCUCCACCUCGGACUCCCAAUCAUGAUCCCACUUCAUCUGGAAGUGAGGCUGACACUCAUGAUCCGCUUGACAAAAUCUCCGCCGUCAAGCACCACCUCCAAUAUAUGUCAAAGGCAACGGAUUGGUGGGAGAGUAAGUGCGAUAUUCAUGGCCAAGUUAUGGGAAACUUGGCCAACAAGUUGAACAAAGCAUACGCUGGAGAGGUGAAGCAAGCUCUUAAAGCAAAAAGUCGGAGCAAAGAGUUAGAGUCCUUGAAGUUGAAAUUGGAAGACACAAAGAAAAAUGCCCUCGAAACAUUCACACAAUCUGAAGAAUAUAACCAUGAAAUGGUUGAAUGUUUCAACAACGGCUUCGAAAUGUUCCGAGAUUAUGCUUCGGUCAUCUCACCAGACCACAAUUGGAGUGAAAUUGAUGUAGCUGGUGUCUGGCAGGUACUAAAUAUGGGUUUUGAUGGAAUGGCUCAUCAUAGCCUCGUGCAUGCAGCGAGAAGAAAGGACAAAGACAUGGAUCUUUUGAUGGACCUGUAGUAACGGUGAAUGCUGCUUCAGUUCAUCUCACCCGAGUACAUGGAUCUUUUGUUGCCUUCAUUUUCCCUUCGUGGGAUAGAUAGUAUUGUUCAGUUUGGGAGGCGAUUUCUUUCGCAUGUGUGAAAUGUUGUCUGUAAUGUGUAUGUAUUGUAUGUACAUUGACUUAAUAUUGCAUUUGUAUUGUGUUUGUAUUCCCUUAAUACUGUAAUGUGUAUGUAUUAUAUGUAUAUUGCCCUAAUAUUGCCUUUAUAUUGUACUUAUAUUGCUCUACUAUUGCCUUCGUAUUGUAUAUUUAUUGUGGCCAUAUUGCCCUACUAUUGCCUUCGUAUUGUAUAUUUAUUGUGGUCAUAUUGCCUUCGUAUUGCCUUCGUAUUGCCUUUGUAUUGUAGGCAUAUUGCCCUACUUUGGAAUAUGAUGAGGUCAAGAGGCGUCCCAUGCUUGUAUGCAACCCUCACAGCUUCAUCCUCGUUCAGCCUCGCUUGUGAAGUCCCAGACUUCAUGUCAUCUUUGCUAUUUGCCAAUUUCAGUUGCAUCAGCUGGCCGUGUCUAGGGUUUUUUAUCUGCUUUCGUUUCAUUUUUAAGCUCUGCUUUGAAUCAAUACGUGGCAUAUUGGCUGAAUAUGGGAGUGACAAGAUCAAUUCUUACUCUCCCUAAGUGGAUAAAAUAGAUGCUCAAUAUGAAUCCUUUCCUCCACAAGUUUGUGUACAGUGCCGUACGUUGUGUGUUUUAGGUGCCACACUGGCUUAUUAAAAUUGAUGCUUGGCCAUGAAAAACUUUUUGUUUUCUUACUUUUAGAAAAGUACAUAUUUGUGUCAAUAACUAAGUUUGGACUGUUAACAAUCAUUCAGAAGAAUGGUAGAAAUAAGCUCCACUGUGCCAAUCCACGAAGUUGAACAAAGAAAUUGUGUUCGAUACACAGAUGACAUGUGAAACUAACAUUAGCAUUCUCCAAUAAGAAGACUUCUCUUCUUUCCACCUCGUCGAUUGAGAAAGAAAGAAGAGGGACAAAACACACACUACCAAGUUAAGGUGACAUUACAAACCUAAAAAAUAUCCUCAUCAAACUUAUAAUGCUCCUUUUUUUCUUCUUUAAAGCAAAACUUCAUUCAAACUGAGAUAACCACGUGCUCUCCAUAAGCACUCCGGAAUUAUUUGCUCAUUAUCUGCAUCGCCUUCUGUCUCAACUUGAGGCUUGGAAUGAGCUUUGGCACCAGGAGGCUGCUUCUUCUUCAUCCCACUCACAAUGUCAUCGAUUCUGAGAAGUAGGCAAGCAGCUUCUAUGGCCGUUUUAAAACUCUGGCCCUUCACGUUGUAGGCAUCCCAUAUCUGACAUCAUAAAUCCUCAAAAUGAACAGCCUUACCAACAAAAUAAAUUUAUUGGGAAAUUUUUUAAUAACCACGACAACAGCACUUCCCCUCACAUGAGUGCUGUCGAAAUAUAUUGGGAGAAGCUCUAAACUAGAACUACUACUGAAGCAAAUCGACAAUAUAAACCAGAAGAUUGACACUUAUGCCAUAUCAAUAAAGGGACAUAUAAUGGAUACAUUUGAGAACAAUACUACAUUAAAAGUCCUAUUUCAGAGCUUUCAGCAAAUAUAAAUCACCCAACAAAUGUGAAUAUUGAGAUAGCGAAGGAAAUAAAAGAGAGCAACAAUAGUAAGCCAAAAAGAUAUCCACCUAUCUUUUUCUCUUUCACAUCAGUUAUCACACCAGUGUUACCAUCAAUGCCAAUCCAUGAUUUUUCACCAUUUGCAUGCUAUGGAAAAAAAAUUGUGGUUAAGAUCUAAAUGAUGCAUCAUAUUCUGACCAAAAUAAUAAUGAUGCAUCAUAUUCUGUGAUAACCACAUCUGGUUUAAACUUCAAUAAUAAAAUGCAUGUAAGGUGAAACCACAACUAAUUCUUAAUCUAAAGUAUGUCAACGAGCAUGUGAAUUGAAGUGACAGCCUUGUUUGGUUCUCGCCUUUCUUAUAUUCGAGCGGCCAAUCAAGAAGAAUGAUUGGGUGAUUUAUAAGAAAAUGAAAGAAAAUGAAAGAAAAUGAAAGAAAUUGGCACCAUCCCUUCAGUUUUUUCUUAACAAAAAAUGAAAGAUAAAUUCAUAAAUAAACCAUCAAAACGGUAUAAAAUGUUUGUAAGACAUGUACAAUUACAAAAUUAUAAGUUCUCCUCAGAAACAGACUUCUCUAAGUAUCCAUACACAAACAACAAAAGCAAAAGCUUAAACAGUUAGCUUAUAGCAAAAUCAAUGUCCCCAUUUCUCUAAACCACAGCUGCUGCUGGUAGGUUCCCAUCUUCACUCAUUUCCCGCUUUCUUUUAAGCACACAAUGAUCAAGCACAAAACAGCAAACUUUUAAACAACUCAUAUUACACCACAUAUGGUUCUAAACAAAACUCAUCCAUAUCCAAUAUGCAAGCCCUAAACUUAGUAAACAAAGUUAUACAAAAAUAUGUCGAAUUAACAAGCAUUAUUCUCAAACAAAAAGUAUGAUAUGGUUGGGAGUUUACAAGUUCAAAUAUUUAUACAAUACUUGAUUUUGUCAAACUCUGUCUUGAGAUAUUUUAUCAAUCUAGAAGUUUCUUUCAUAUAUGAAAAACUACGAACGAUAACAAAGGAAAUUAUUUCUAUGUAAAUUAUUCUUCGAUUCCAUCAGACAACCAUGCAAAUCCUUUGCACAAUUGAGUGUAAUGUGAAGGGUCACUACCUCGUUGGAAGAUAAAGAGAAAAAAAUUAAGGAAUUUAGCAAGCCACCAACAGUUUGCUUAAGAUAUUUCAAAAUGGUUGCUUCCAUCAUGGAGUUUUAGCCACAAAUUCUUUUCAUGGCCACAUUUUCUACGUAAAAUAUAAUCAGCGAGUAUUUUUUGGUAAUGAUCCACAGAGAAGAAAUCACCAUACACAGGUUAAUUGUCUUACACUUUAGAUAUCAUCUUCAACAAACAAAAUAGAUACCAAUUAGACUUCUAAGAAGGUUAAAUGCAAUGCUCAUAAAGACUCAUACUAAGCCACCAAAUACCAUUCAAUAACUGCUACAAAAACCAUAAUAAAACCAUACUAAAACUAAAAAUACAACUGCACUAAAAUGCCAACACAACAUCACUACAUUAGCAAUACACUAGCAAAAAAACACAAUACGACAGCAAUAGCAACAGCAACAGCAACACAACAGCAGUGCAAGCAUCAGUCCACAAAGAACAAACCCAUUCACUGUUUGAAACAAGGAAUCAUCAUACUCAGAUCAUUUCAGACAAACCCCUAAAACAAUUUCAAUGAAACCCCUAAACCAAUUUCAGAGAAACCCCUAAACCUUCAACCAAUUUCGAACAAACCCCUAAACUAAUUUCAGCGAAACCCCUAAACCUUCAACCAAUUUCGAACAAACCCCUCAGCCAAUUUCAGAGAAAUGCAUAAACCCUAAAACAACUUGAGAGAAACCCUUAAACUGUAAGAAAAUGCCGAUGAACAGUACCUGUCGCUGGGAGAGGAAGAGAGAAGAGACAGUCGGAGCUGAGUGAGGAGAGACUGAGAGCUGAAGGACCACAGAUUCGGAGCAAAGCCACCGGAGAGUGAAGAGAAACAGAGGGCAGCGAAGAGACAGAGGCGAGAGAGAACUUCAGCAAAACAGAGACAAUAAAAUUUCAGCAAAAGUGAUAUAUGUGCAAUAAGGGGACAAUAAAAUUCUAUUUAUAGGUCAUAGUUCCAAAAUUUUUAAAAAAGGGUGGUAUUUUCAAUUACAAUUAUAAAAAUGGUGGCAUUUUGGGCUAUUUCCCAAUUUUCUUUACACAGUUGCAUAUUUGUGGAUGUUUUGUUCCAACCCCGAGCGGGCAAUAAGGUGGCGCAUUCUUUGGCCCAAGCAGGUAUGCGGCUUCAACAUCAGAUGUUUUGGGAGGAUAUGCCACUUUUUGGGAUUCUUCCAUUGCUAGACAGAGAUAUUAGUUUUGUUUUGUUCAGGGAAUGCGCAGGUAUUUCAAGAGUAAUAUGUUACUUGGGAGAAUGUUGUAGAGAUCAUUCAAUUUAGUUACUCUUAAGAGCUAUCUCUGGAGAAAGUAAGAAAAAGGUAGGUUGGUUUUAUUAAAUGAAGCUCUAUUUAUUUACAUUUUUUCUUACAAAAUAAAAUUAAAAUCAAAUCAAAUAAAUGCUACAGUUGUCCAAGAAGGGUCUGCAUGGGGAUUCAUGCGUCUUUCUUGAAAAUUUAGGUUUGUCUUGCAAUACUUUGGAGAAGUGUGGACGUACUUAGGAAGUAUUUGUAUUUUAAGAGCUUUUUGAUCAUUUGCCCAAAAUUUGGAAGACUUUCAAAUUUUGCAAUAGAUAAAUAAAAAUAUUUUAUGUAAAACCCAAAUCUCUAAUAGUGAUUCAACUCUGUCUAUAACUUGAAUACAAGUGAUAGUCUAAAUUCCCUUCUUUAUUUUAGAACAUAAUUGAUGUUUAUGACUCAAAUAAAGUGAUGCAUCUUAAUGUGGCAUAACUAUUUUGGAUACAAACACCAUUGGAGGAGAGGGGUAUGUGCUCUUAACCACUUAAGCUACAAGCUCUUUACAUAAGUAUUUGACUAUGUAAAAUAAAGUUUACUGAGAAUGGUAACCAUGGGAAAGGGAUUCAAGAAAUCCAUCUAAGCUGGUGAGGUUCUUGCUCUUUAGAAAAUGGGAGUACCAAUGAGCAGAGAGUUUGGGUUGUCUUUUUAAAUCAGGGUCGUCCAAAUCGAUGUAGUAUAGGCCAAAGCUUGAUUCAUAGCCGUUCAAUAGCUCAAGGGAGUCCAUGAAGGACCAUAUAAAAUAGCCUUUGGCAUUUGAUCCAUUCCUUCCAAAAGUAAAGAUUUUCAUAGCAUCCGUCAGUGAUUAAGAACAAGUACUAGUUAGAUGUCAAACUAAGGUAUAAAACAAGAAAAACCACUUAAGAAAAAAGCAAAUAAAGAUGAUAUCAAAUAGUUAAAGACUUCAUAAGUGGUGAACGGUUAUAGCCCAGUGAAAAAAGACAUUGACUAAUGUGUGAGAAAUCAUUCAUCUCCGUGUAGUUUAGACUAUAGCUUGUAUAAAAAUAAAAUAAAAUAAAAUAAAGACUUCACAAGUGAAACAUAUCUUGCCAAUUCUCACUUUGCCUAUUUAAACAACAAUUUGGGUCUUGACCUAAUUAAUUUCAAUUUUGUCCAUGGAAUUAAUUAUUAGUUACAAAAUCAGUCAUUUCUCUGGCUUCAAUUGUCAUUUCUUGUUAAAGCAAAGUGGUCUUUUCAUACCGAGGAUGGCAAUUAAAUUUCCCUAGUAUGAACACUUUCUUGGAGAGAAUAAGAUAAAUCAUAUGACUCUUGGGUUACAUUAUAACUGGAAGAAAAUAGGUAUACCUUACAGCUGCAAGCAAACUUUGGAUAUGUCCACGCAAAUAUUUUACCCUCGACCUAUCCUCCAAUGAUGAAUUGCGUGCAGUUUGUUGACCUAAAAUAUAUAGGAUGCCAAUACUUUUCCAUUUAGAUAAUGAGAUAGAUGAAAAGAAUAUAAACAUGAAAAGCUAUAAUGCCACUACUUCAUUAUAAUAGCCAAAAUUAAGUCUUUGUACUCUAUAAUUUUCAAUUAGGUUAUAACAUUAUCAUCUAAAUAUAUGACUUUAUUACAAAAAGAAGAGCGAAACUAAAAGUACCACUAAACUAAAUUGCAAAUUGUUCCAACACUGUAUAUUCAAAUACAUGCAUUAUAGCACUACUUCGAUUAAAUUUCAGCAUUUAGAUAGAGAGAGGGAUAUACCAUUUUCAUGGAUAUAUAUAGGGGGAUUGCCAUAAUUUUGCUUCAUAUAUUCCAACAGUCUUUGCAGGCCCCAGGGAGCUAUUGGAUACUACAUCAAACAAAUGCAUUAGUAAUGCUUGAAAUUAACUCCAUAAAUGGUUAAAUGACACUAACUUAACCCCACAUCGAAAAUUUGAAAAAAUAAAUACAAUAUAUAAUGAAUGAUACCACUCCUAAUAACACCGAGGUUUUUUGAUAAAACAACACACCUAUUGGAAUUUGUAAGUGGUUAAGUUGUGAACAAUAUCAGUGUUGCUAGUAGUGGGUCGAUAACCCAUCUCUCUAAAGUUAACAAGUUGUUAUGUUCAAAGUUUUACCUCGAAUGAUGAUUCACCAUGUUUCGGAACUGCACAGAUAAACUUUGUAAGUUAAAUCAAUAAUUAUAUCAUGUCUUAACCAAGAUAAAACUUGCCCUAUAGUGACCAAUGUGUACACUAAAGCAGUACAAAAAAGAUGUAAUCGAUGAAUCAUGUAAUAAACACUUUUAAUUUUGUGAAUAUUUACUUAAUCUUGGGGUAAACCUUGAAGCUAAUAAUUCAAAACUUCAGGUUUUUUUUUUCUUUUUUAAACAUUCGACAGAUAUUUACCAAUAUAUUUUCACAAAGGCUCGGCUAAUACAUCCACAAAGUUAUGCUACGUACCAUAAUGGGAUUAGCCACAACUAGACUGUUAAAGAUUGGCUCACCAUAGAUGCAUGAGGAAGAGGAACCGUACAAUCCCGACGACUGGUCGUCACGUGAAUAGUGUCACGCGCUGUUUUUGGCAUUUUGGCAUGUUUUGAUGUGGUUUCCUAUUAUUUUGGGGUUUUCUAGUACAAUUUAAUAGGGUUUUAAUUUCCUAUUCCUAGUAAACUUGUAACCCAAGUUCUAUGAGUUAUAAAUAGAACUUUUAGGGCUAGGUUAAUUUAAGAGAGGAGAAUUCAAGAGUGAAUUUUGAAAAGAGAAACACAAGAUUGAAUUUUCAAGGGUGAAUUCUUGAGUGUUUAUAAGGUCAUCAAAGGGUUUGAGCAAGGGUGUGAGAGAAAUUAAGACCUAGAGUUUGAGGUGAUAGAAAGCUAAGGGGAUUCUUGUUGUAACCAAAGUUGUUCCUAUUCUUCUAGUGAAAUUUCUAGAGGGGGUCACCAAAGAGAAUGUAGGUACAAAGCUGAACCUCUAUACAUCUUUGUAUUCUUGUGUGUUUGCUUACUCUCUUUGUGGUGUGUGUGUUUUUUAUUCUCAAAGAGUUUGUGUGUGUGUUAUCGCAUAGUCCAUCAAUGACAAGGUCUUGGAGUGUUUCCGCACAAUAUCGACGUUGAACUACAUACGUGUAGCAAAAACUUGAUUAAAUUUUUAGGGCUCAAUUUAGUUUGAUAUAUAAAUAUACGUAUAGCAAAAACUUACAUAUCGUCUUCAUUGCCGAGUCAGCAAUAUAGUCUCUGUUUGUACUCUCUAAGCUGACGGAGUUGUCCUCGGCGUAUACGGCGGUAUAAUAAUUAAAUCCUAUGAAGUCAAACGAACCCUUGACACUUUGAGACUCAAGCCUAGUGAAGAAAGGAAUUCUAGAGCCUGCAUUUUUUUUCAUUACAUCAGGGUAAUCUCCAAACACCAAGGGAUUCAAAUACCUGCAACACAAAAUAGACACAAUGGAAUUACAAUGCGUUUGCAGUUAAGACAAGUAAAUAAUAAUUGACAUAUAUAUCGGUUUCACAUAGUAGCUUGAUCGUCCAAACCAUCUAUUUUUUAUGUUUCGUUGAAGGAUAACCCUGUACUAAUAAUCCACCAAAUUGGGCAGGAAAAUGACUACAAAAGAGAGAACAGAGAGGUUGCAAUUUUAUGCCAAUUUCAAACUUACCAACCAAAAUAGAAGUCGAAGCCUCUUUGGGUUGCUAGUUCAUCUUCAAUGGUUUUUGUUCGAGGAAAAAACCAAAAGGCAAAAAGGUUGAUUCCUAUAAACCCACGUUGUUUAUCCUGCAUUCCAAAAGCAUUGAUGUUACAUGGAAUAAUCUUUGUUGAAUUAGGUUGGGUUUCUUUUGACUUCUUUAUCAUAGUUUAUAACGGUCUGUAUUGUAUGUUUGAGCUUAUAAUUGUUUAUGCAUUUCCACAUAGUAUAUGUACAUUAGAAGGAGAGGCAUCAAAUUAAUAUUGCAGAGUUUUCUCUUUUUCUACUUCCCAUUUGCUCUCAAUUUCUUAUUUCCUCAACCUAUCUCUAACUAUUUUCUUUGUUAAAAUGCUUUAUGUUCUCAAAUUAAAACUCGAAGACCUAAGUAACAAGUGAAAAUUAGCAGCUGUGACACUUACUAAUCUGUAUUAUAUCUUGAUUCAAGGACGAAAGGACACCAUUGCAAGAACAACAGUGCUUGAAGCAUUUAACAUGAAUUUGUUUUCUCUUCCAAUUACCUGGUAGUUUUUCUUGUACAAUCUAGCAGCCGACGCAUGAGAUAACAAGAUAUUAUGCGUUGCCAAGUAUGGUUCUGUUGAGGAGUUACCCCUAGAGCAGUUGAGACCAAAUGGAAUUGAACAUCGUUGUGGUGGAAGAAAUCCAGCAUCAUAACCCCCAAGUACAAAAACAUUAGGUUCAUUCAUAGUAGUCCAAUGCAAAACUCUAUCCCCGAAAUUUUUGAAGCACACAUCUGCAUACGCAGUGAAGUCUUUUCUGCAACCACAAAAUUGUUCCACCAUGAUCUUUCCCCUUUUUCUCCUGAUGCAUUGAAAUUAUGCAAAAUAACAAAAAUAGGGUUAAGAAACCAUACACAAUCUUUCGGCUAACCCAUCCUCCAUACUCAUCAUCAAGUGCCUGUGGGAGAUCACUAUGGUGUAAAGUAACAUGUGGUUGGAUUCCUGCUUGAAAAAUAAAGCAAUCAGACAUCAAAUUACAGAAUUGUUAGAUUGGUGGAAGUGGUACAUGUUUCUUAAGGCAUGUUUACUUUAUUAGGAAUGGGUAUUGGAAUUACUCAAUUCAUGUCUUCCCCCGCGUUUACUAACAUAAAAAGCAAUCCAAAAUUAUAUGGGUUGCAUGCUAAACUCUCGAAUAUCCUCAAAAAUAGUAAUCGGAUCAGCUACCUAGUUGAUCUGAUUCCAAUUCCUCAAUUUAGUUCCAUGAUUCAUGACUUCCUCCAUUCCUAAGUAAACAUGCCCUAAGAGUAUAACCACUCCCCAAAUUUGAAGGAAAAUAUACAAUGUAGUAUCAUAAGGUAGAUAGUAACCAUAGCUGAUUAGUUGAUCAAUAAGAUUGUUGUAAUAUUGUAGACCCUUUGGAUUGACAGGUCCUUUUCCAUCUGAAAUAAAGAAAUUGGAUAUUUGAGUGCGUGAAAACUUAAGCGUUGUUUGUUUAAUAUGAGUAACAAUUGGAUGCUCAUGCAUACUUGGGAUAAGUCUUGACCAUGAGAUGGAAAAUCUAUAUGCCUCUAAUCCAGUAUCUGCCAUUAGUUGAACAUCUUCCUGCAACAGUUUGAAUGAACAUGAUAUGAUGUAUGAACAUCAAAUAGCAUCAACAUGUUCCCAAUUAGUUAUUUAGGCAAUAAAUCGCGUAAUUGUACAGAACAUAUGGUAUGUUAUAUUGCCUCCCAAAAACUAUAAAAACCUCUCGAAUACUAGCUAGUCUUGAUACGGUAUGAAUCUCGUGAUUGCAUAAUUGUAACAUAUAUGUGAAUAACUACUAGUCCUGAAACCUCUGAACUAAAAGAAAAGAUUGUUAGCAAUAACUAGAUUGAAUUUUACAAAAUAUAUACCUUAUACUUGUGAUACGCGUCACACGCUACAUCUCCAGUGGCUCCAUGAAAAUGACCUGAAAAAUUGAGUUAAGUAAUGAACUAACAAGGAUCAUGAUACAUGCAAGUUAUCAUGUUAGUUUGAACAAUUCACUUUAUCUAAAUGUUUGAUUAGUUGAUUAUAUUAUUAAUAUGGAUUAAGUUUAUUUAAUCCGCUUUGUCUCAAUAUUCUAAUUUUCUGGUCAAUAUAUUUUGGCAGGACUUGUAUGUAACCACCUAGUAUAUGCUACUCAAAAUCUGAUAAGAAAUAUCACCUGCCUUGCAACUUGAGAAAAUUAUAUAUGAGCUAAAACAAGCUUCUCAUCACAAUGGCGGGAAAAAUAUAUUCAGAAAAUAUAUCACCUGACCCGAUGCCUCAACUACUGGAAAUGAAUGAUUAUAUUGAUAGAUAUAUAGUAGGAAUGGUCAACUACCUUAAGCACAAACUUACUAAGAAGAUAGAAAACAACAGUAUGAAUUAUGAUCAACUACUUUAAGUACAAACCUACUAAGAAGAUAGAAAAACAGUAUGAAUUAAUUUAAUUUAUAAGGGAAAAAAAAAAGUGGGAUUUGUUUGUGUUUGGCCUUUGGCAGGGACGGACCCACAGUGGGGUUAAUGGGGUCAAACGACCCUAUGGACUUCAUGAAAGCAAGGUAGAAGGUCCCUUUGAAUUGGGGUGUGACCCCAUGAGAAUGGCUGAAGGGAGGAGUUGCAGACAGAGGAAGAAGAAGGUGAACAGGAAAUCUGUUUUUUGUUUUAAAGAAGCUGGCCAAAACGGCGUCGUUUUGGCCCAGCUUCUAAUUUUUUUAAAAAAACAGGCUGGCCAAAACGGCGUCGUUUUGGGCCAGCCCAGCGUAUUUUUUUUUAAAACGCGCUGGCCAAAACGGCGUCGUUUUGGACCAAUAGCGAAUUUUUAAAAAAAAACUCGCUGGCCAAAACGCCGUCGUUUUGGACCAGCGAAUUUUUUUUUAAAAGACCUGGCCAAAACGACGUCGUUUUGGUCUAGGUCUUUUAAAAAAAAAAAUAGAACAGAUUGUAUCUGCUGCACAGCUUCAUCCCGAAUUUUCAUCUCCAAAACACCUAUUUUCUAAACCCUCAAACCUAAAUCCCCAAUCUCCACCCCCCACAAACCUUUAACCCUCUUCCCCACCAAGCCUUUAAACCCCAAAUCCUCCAUUGUCGCCGCUGCCCUCUAAACCCUCAGUUUAAAAAUUGAACUUUUACACUAUGACUCUACGACAUAAAAUUCCUGAGUCCGUCCCUGGCCUUUGGUCCCUUUUUGUACCAAAAGAAAAAUAAAGAAAAGGUGAGGGGGGUUUAUACUCUCGUUACGAUUUACAGGGCUGUCCAUUAGGUUGGUUGGAUAUAUUAGUUUAGGCUGACAAAAGGCAAAGUCAAGUCGAGGUUAGUCAAAGUGUAAGUCUGUCUCUGCAUGUCACUUUAUGGAUGAGGAGGGAAAUAUUAUCCAAAAAAAAAAAAAUAUACUACCUAAUUAAGUAACCAUAACUUUACUCUAAAGUAUGUGAUAAAGCCGUAAUUUACAAUAAUAAUGUGACACAUGACAUUGUCAUAUAUUUAUUUUUAUUAAUUACAUAGUUUGUCCCAAAAAAGAAAAAAAAAAAUCAACAACAAAAACGAAAGUAUGCCAAUAGAAUAUGUGAAUUACUAUUUUGCACCUGAUCACUUUGUCUUUAUGAAUUACUUUUUCUUCAAACGGUUUUGAAUCUAUUUCGAUCAGGUUUCGGGCAUGAGUUUUUCUUCACACGGUUUUGAAUCUAUGACAUGAUUCACUUUUUUUGUUGUGUAUGAAUGACUGCCGACUGACAUUGUUUGGACGUACAUGAAUUUAACGUCAUGGAUGACAGUGGUUUUGGGGUGAUGGGCCCCUUCCAAUAUAACAUUGAAUCUACCACAAGAAAACAACCAAGACUUUUCUUGCUUUUAAGUAUACCAAUAUCGUCUUUCACAAUAGAAAAAGUUCCAAAAAUAAAAUUUUAAUAUCUAUAGCUAGCCGUAUCUUUCAUUGACUUUUCGAACUGAAUUGAGACGUUGAUUAUAUAACAUUUUCAAAACUAAUUAAUUCUUUGAAAAAUUUAACCGAACUAAUCAGAAACUGUAAUUUAUUCAUGAAGAGGUUAAAUUGUUUUUAAUAAAAAUAAAAACUAAAAAAACAAAUACAAAAUAAAAGCAUAAAAACUAGUAUUGCUACAAUCUAACCUGACCUCGCCAACCAACAAACAAAAAUGAAAGAAGAAGAAGAAGGAAAAUGUGAUAAGAAAGUAGUGGGAAGCAAACCAGCUUGCGCAUAUGUGUCCAAGAUGCUCGGGGUCCUGCCAUCUUCGCCUGCAGCACCUUCCACCUUUUGUCAUGUAGAUUUUUUAAUCAACCCAGGUAAUAAUACAAAUGAAGAGAAAUUAGAGAGAGAAAAAGAAAAAUGAAAAGAAAUUGCGAACCUGAUAAGCAGAGGAGGAAGCACCAAACACAAAGGCCGGUGCCGGUGGGAAGUCAUCUCUGCAAAAGUCAUCAGUGCUUGAAGAAACGCUUUUUAUAGUAAGAAGAAAACACAGCAGAAGUGAAACUCUCAACAUUAAUUAUGGAAAAGACGAAAGCACAGCAAGAGUUUGGAGAUUCUGGUUUCUGAACUUAUAAAAAGCAAAACUUUUGAAUGAGAUUUGAGUGGUUACCCUUUAGUUAUCCUAAAGCUCCACGUCGAUAAAGCUAGACGACUCCAAAUUACUUUAGAAGGUGUUGUGUGUUGAAUUGAAGACUUUUUCAUUUGUCGAUUAUGAAAACUUGUCAAAACGGCCGAAAACUGUUGUCAAAUUAAUUAAAAUAAAAAACGAGUAAUUAAUUGAUAAAGGUUGUGCAAAGCCCCGCUGCGAUGAUUGGCUUGAAGCGAAAAGCCUUUGCUUUCUCCCAGUGGCGUAAAGAGGGUCCGUGAAUAUUAACAAAAUAUAUUUUUUUAAUUGUAUAAUUUAGGGAAAUAGCGCUCAAUACCACCAGUUUUUUAAUUUUAACUAGAAAUACCGCAUUUUCCCACAAAUUUUACAAAUAUCGCCUAUAAAUAUAUAUUUGAUGUCCACUUAUUGCACACAUAACAGUUUUUCUGAAAUUUAGUUCUCUCUCAGCUCUUUCUUGGCUCCGUCUCUCUCUGCCGCUCAGUUCUCAUUCUCUCUUCACUCUGUCUUUCUGUCGCUCAACUCUCACUCUCUCUUCACUCUUUCUUUGUCGCGCGCUACCCUCAGUCUCUCUUGCGCAGCUCUCUCUCUCUCUCUCUCUCUCUCUCUCUCUCUCUCUCUCUCUCUCUCUCUCUCUCGUGUAGCUCCCUCUCUCUCUCUCUCUGACGCAGUGCUCUUCUUCCACCAGAGGUGUCUGUUCAUCGAAGCUCAACUCCAUCGUUCACUUCCAAAAGGUACUAUUCAUCGUCAUUUUCUUAGGGUUUAGGGGUUUCUCUGAAGUUGGUUUAGGGUUUAUGGGUUUCUAUGUAUAAGAUCCCACAUCAACCAACGGAGAGGGGGUGAUGUGCCUUAUAUGUGCACACCCGCAUCCAUCUAGCACGAGGCCUUUUGGGAGCUCACUGGCUUCGGAGUCGUAGGAACUCCGAAGUUAAGCGAGUUGGGGGCCAGAGCAAUCCCAGGAUGGGUGACCCACUGGGAAGUUGCUCGUGAGCUUCCAGAAACAAAACCGUGAGGGCCAGAGAGGGGGGCCCAAAGCGGACAAUAUCGUGCUACGGCGGAGCCGAUCCCGGGAUGUGACAAUUUGGUAUAGAGCCACUCUGCCGUGUGGUGCGAGUGUGCCGACGAGGACGUCGGGCCCUUAAGGGGGGUGGAUUAUAAGAUCCCACAUCAACCAACGGAGAGGGGGUGAUGUGCCUUAUAUGUGCACAACCGCAUCCAUCUAGCAUGAGACCUUUUGGGAGCUCACUGGUUUCGGAGUCGUAGGAACUCCGAAGUUAAGCGAGUUGGGGGCCAGAGCAAUCCCAGGAUGGGUGACCCACUGGGAAGUGGCUCGUGAGCUUCCAGAAACAAAACCGUGAGGGCCAGAGAGGGGGCCCAAAGCGGACAAUAUCGUGCUACGGCGGAGCCGAUCCCGGGAUGUGACACUAUGAAAUUGGUUAAGGGGUUUCUCUGAAGUUGGUUUAGGGUUUAUGGGUUUCUAUGAAAUUGGUUAAGAGGUUUCUCUUAAAUUGGUUUAGGGUUUAGUGAUUUCUCUGAAAUUGGUUUAAAAGUUCUCUGAAAUUGGCUUAUUUAUUAUAUUGCCCCUUAAAACUAUAGUCAAAUCUCACUUUACCCCCUGAAAAUUAAAGUGACCCAGAAUACCUAUUGACCAACGUUUGGUGGUUCACUUUGCCCCCCAACUAUUAAUUCUGUUAAAAUUUUUGUUAAAAACGCUGUUGUGGCACAAAUAAGACCCACUCUUUUGUUGAAAUAUAUGUCACCUAAGUGCCACAUGUAAAAUAAAUAAAUUUUAAAAUUUUAAAAUUUUAAAAUUUUAACAAAUAGAAAAGAAAAAAAAAAUUACAUGACUUCUCUCUUCUCUCUCCCUCUUUCUCUCUACUUGAGUCUCGACCUUCUCCCCUACCAACAAAUAGGUAAACGUUAAUGGUAAAGAAAAGCAGCAAAGCACAUGCCAUUACAGAAAUUCUUGUGCUUGAAUUUUAAUUACUGAAAUUCUGUGCUUGAAUUUUAAGCAGCAAAGCACACUCCCAAAUUGAAAGGCAAACCCAUUCAAACAUCAUACAAAUCAAGAGGGAUAAUACCCAAAACCAUUCAAGAAAUCAAAACCAAGAGGGCUCGGGCGCUCCUUUUGUUUAUAAAUUAAAUUUUGUUUUUGUUUUAUGGUUUAGAAAAUAUUUGGAGUUUUUGGGUUCUGUUUGGUAGGCAAGAAAAUUUCAACAGGAAGUUGAGAUUUUGGAUGUGGAUUUGGUUGGGGAAGGAGUGGUUUUUGAGGAUUUUUAGGCGGCGAAGUUGGUUAGAUGGAAGGGAGGAGCUGGUGGGGAGGGGGUGGGGCAGUGAUGACUACCCCAAGUGGGUUGGUUUGGGGAGGGAGUCAGGUACAGAGAAAGAAAGAGAGGGAGAGAACAGAGAAGGGAAGAGAGAAGUAAUGUAAUUUAAUAAUUUUUUUAAAAUAAAAUAUUUUAUUAUAUUUUUCACACGUGACACUUACAUGGCAUAUAUUUUAACAAAAGAACGGACCUGUUGUAAAUCAGUUGCGAAGCUUCCCCCCCUAGGAAGCUUCCUCUUGUAUCAUAUCAAUAUGAUGGAGCCCAACCAAAUGCCCCAUUUGUAUUCCUACAUAUACUCCCCCUCCCCUACUUGUAAAAUUGACAAUCGGAGAAUACAAUUAGAGGAGAACACAAUCUGAUAAAACUGAUCAAGAUCAGUUUUCUCCAAUUUCCCUUUCUCUCAAUUUCCUCCUCAAUUCUCUCUAUUUCAUAACACGUUAUCAGCACGAUAUUGUCCGCUUUGGGCCCUCCUCUUGCCCUCACGAUUUUGUUUCUGGGAGCUCACGAGCAACUUCCCAGUGGGUCACCCAUCCUGGGAUUGCUCUAGCCCCCAACUCGCUUAACUUCGGAGUUCCUACGAAGCUCUUGUCACAGAUGUGGUGCAAAGGGACAUUGGGUGCGCACAUGUCGUACGCCCAGGCAUUUGGCGGAUCUCUAUCAAGCUUCACUUAAGAACAGGAAAGUGGAGAUAAAUUACAUUGAUCAUGCUCCGCCAGCCACAGAUGGCUCAUUAGAAAUAUCACGUCAGCUAAACAAGAAGCAUCUAGAUGUUUCUGAUUUUGUUACUGAAAGAGGGAAUGAAGGUUAUGUGUCCGAAUUAGAUUAAAUUCCUUAAUAUACUACUUGUAUUAGCUGAAGUGUUGUUUAAAUUUCAAUCCAAUAAAAGUGGUAAUGUUUUCUUCUUUAUUAAUCCAGCUUAUUUUACUUAUUUGGUGGCAUGGAUGCAAAUUAUGGAUGCCCUCAAAACAAAGGCUAUGACAGAGAUAUUUGUCUCGCAGACAGCGCAACUACUCAUACGAUCUUUCAAGAUCGGAAGUAUUUCUCAAAAUUAAUGCUUACAAAAGCAAAGGUAACAACCAUAUCAGGUCCUGCAGAUCUGAUUGAAGGUUCAGGAAUAGCCCAAAUUAUGUUACCGAAUGGAACAAUACUGUCCAUUCCAGAUGCUUUGUAUUCACCUAACUCCAGAAGGAAUCUGUUGAGUUUCAAAGAUAUACGUCUGAAUUGGCUUGGGUACCCAAAAGCAAAGAAAUGCUUAUAAUCGAUGCAUGCGCAUGCACAUGAGAAUGGUGGGAUCAUGAAUUGAUGAAUGACAAUUUUUGGUUUUGGAGUAGCUACUCAAAUCAUCAAUGGGCUGUGUUGAUUGGAACCACGUUCAAUUAUUAAAUGUCGACAAUAUUAUUGGCCAAAAUGGAACGAGGUAAUUCCAUUAUAAAUGAGAAUGAACGUGAAAGAACAAACCCACAGUACGAACCCCAAAAAGAUGUUAAUACUGAAAUUUAUACUUGGGUGUUCGGCAUAAAAGGGAAUAUACCUACUUUGUAUGACACAAUGUUUCUGGCAGAAACAAUGAAUGUUGAGUUUUCUCCAUAUUUACAGAUUCAAUUGUGCCCCCCCUUAUUUCACAAUUACGGAGACCAACAUAUUAUCUUUAAGGGUUAUUAAAUGCACGGAGCAUAUCGCCAAAAGCGAUUCCCUAAAGAUGUAUAAAUAGCUGGGUUAAAGCUAUAUAAUGUGUCAUAAAGUUUAAUCCAUCUUGGUGCACAAAAUUUGUACUCAAUAUUAAUAUGCAUAAAUUACCUCAGUGAGUACAUUGAUGUGAUUGCAACACAUUAAAGAUUCUGCAGAAUUCACGAAAUAUUUGUCUCGACUUAAGGAUCGAGCAUUGUGCCAACGAGAUUCUUGCUUAUACUAAGAAAGUAUUGAAGCAUUUUUAUGAGGAUUAUCCGUUGGUCCUUAAAUAUUUUUCCGGAAGUAUACUAGACCAGAUAGAGCUCAGCUCCACACUGUACUCUUUUUCCCUCAUCCAGGUUUUUAUCCCAUUGGGUUUUUCCUGGUAAGGUUUUAACGAGGCAGUGUCGCUCCAGGGUUUAGGGUAUACUAUGAAAAAUUUUAUGGUCGCUUACUGGACAAAAGCUAGUCCUAAAUUUUUCAGGGGGAGAUAUUCCUCAGGGGGAGCAUGGUUUUAAUAAAGACCUCCAUACACUGUACUCUUUUUCCUUCAUCCAGGUUUUUAUCCCACUGGGUUUUUCCUGGUAAGGUUUUAAUGAGGCAGUGUCGCUCAAAGAUUGACUCACAGAAGCAGUGUCAACUACGAUAUUCAGAAAGAUGAUCAACAGUAUGACUUAAAGAUAUUUUGCCAAGCAUCAGGGGGAGCGCACCAUCAAUAAAGAUCUUCAAACACCGUACUCUUUUUCCUUCGUCCGGGUUUUUAUCCCACUGGGUUUUUCCUGGCAAGGUUUUAACGAGGCAGUGUCGCACGCGCGCCAAUAUACUUAGAAUUUUAUGUUACACAUUAUUAUGUACUCUUUUUCCCUUUGACCAGUUUUUUUGUCCCACUGGGUUUUUACUGGCAAGGUUUUUAACGAGGCAUAUUCCGUAUCAUUUGUGGUCUCCAAGGGGGAGUGUUGUAAAUCAGUUGCGAAGCUUCCCCCCCUAGGAAGCUUCCUCUUGUAUCAUAUCAGUAUGAUGGAGCCCAACCAAAUGCCCCCUUUGUAUUCCUACAUAUACUCCCCCUCCCCUACUUGUAAAAUUGACAAUCGGAGAAUACAAUUAGAGGAGAACACAAUCUGAUAAAACUGAUCAAGAUCAGUUUUCUCCAAUUUCCCUUUCUCUCAAUUUCCUCCUCAAUUCUCUCUAUUUCAUAACAGGACCCUAUUUGUGUCACAUCAGCAUUUUUAACAAAAUUUUUGACAGAGUUAACAAUGGGAGGCAAAGUGAGCCUCAAAAUCUUGGUCAAGGGGGUACUCUGGGUCACUUUAACUUUCAAGAGAUAAAGUGAGAUUUGAUUAUAGUUUCAGGAGGUACUACAGUAAAUAAGCCUAAAAAAAAUCAAAUAUCAUAUAGGAUUAGGAAAUUGAAAACACAAGGAGCCCUAUUUCAUUGUUUCUCUUGUUAAAGGAUAUUUUUUUUCAAAAAGUGAAGUCUCGGGUAGUAAAGGCUUUUCUUGGUUUCCACCAAAGUUGAUGGUGAUUGAAUGCCUCCCAACUCUAUCUUGAAUUGGUUCUCCAAAUCUCUAAAGAAAGUUACUACAAAGUUUCUUCACCAACAAGAGCUUCAGAAGAAGAUGAUGUACCUUAGUGAGAUGAUUAUGCUAGCAAUCUCUCACCAAGAAGACCGGUUUUUGCAACGGUUGAAUGGGAAAGCUAGAGCAGAGCUUAUGUAACACCUCGAUUCAAUUUUAACCAUUUAUUAAAUCUAUUUAAUAUUUAAUUGUGAAAUUAUAAUUUUAUCCUCGGAGUAAAGUCACGAUGGUCACUUUUCGAUCCAUAAGGAUAUUGGGGAUUUAAGUGGCACCGUUGCGUAGAGCGCAUCGAUACGAGUUUGUAGACACGUAGUAGGCCUAAAUGGAAAAAAACUUAGUGAUAAAUCGUGUUACCCAUAAGUCAGGAACAUAAAUUAAAAGACUACUUAUAAGUUAGGAACAUAUAUUAAAAGACUACAUAUAAGUUAGAUACGAAAAUAGACAAAUAAAAAAUGUAUGUUACCUAUAAAUAAAAAAUUACAUAAAAUACUAUUAUACAUUAUCGAAAAUAUGAAACACACACACACACACACACACACACACACACACACAUAUACCUAUGCAAUAGGCAAUAGAAUAAUAUACCUACACCAUAGGAUAAUAUAUCCACAAGAGUAUGUAAUAUACAUCUACCAUAUGGUGAACAAAAAUAAAAAUUGUUACCAAUAACUCAUGUGCUAAACGAUGUGCUACUGUAUUUGCUUCCCUAAAACACUUGAACAAUCAGUAAUUCCAUCGCCUGAAGGCAAGAGAAGCAUCAUAAAUGGCUAAUUAUUAUCACAUAAAGUACUAUUAUCCGAUUCAAAGCAUAAAGGGCAACAUUGGAACAAAAAAUGAUUGAAAAAUAAAUAAAUUAUAUUACAUCAUAAAAUAUUUAAAAACGAAUGUGAUUCUAUGUGGCACAAAAGUCAAAGAACUUGUAUCAAAGUCACCAAAUCCAAAUAUUAAACCCAACUUCUCAAUGGAAAUUUGAAUCUAUAUCAAAUUUUCUAUUAACUAAUCUUAAUUUUGGCUCCAAAAUACACAAAAUAAGUUGUUUUUAACAUUAAAUUUGCCAUCAGGGAUUUGACCGCAAAUAUAUUUAACAUCAACAAGAUACCCCUCCAGUACAACUGCCAGUGAAUCUCUCUUCUAUGAGAAUUUUUUUAAACAAUGACCAAUGAAUCCACCAAACAAGUUUAUUUCUUUUCGAUGGAAGUUUUAUUUUCCCAGAAUGUACGUUACGGUAAUAUGUGGAAGUAUCAUCAUAAUUUCAUAGAGUCAUUUGGUAUGAAUGCUAGAUUACACUACAUGAAAAUGAAAACGGCUCUUCUGCUCAUAAAUGAAAUGUUCCAAAUGUUCCUAUAAAUUGUUUCUCCCAUUGGACUAUUUGUAUCUAUAUGCAUUAGGAUCCCAAUUUUCUUUAAUCUCUCAGUUCGAGAAAUAAAAAUUAGAGGAGAAGCGAUCCUUGACAUCAACAAGAUGCUCAUCUUUAAGAUAUUUUCCAUUCAGAGUCUGCAUAGCCAUGACUUGCUGAAUAAGUCUUCACAUUGUUGUGUCCAACAAAGCCUGGCUCAUCAGACUUGAUUUCUUUAACCCCACUACCCAUUGCUUUGGUCUCAGAAAAUUCCCAAAACAUAGUCCAACAACUCAAGUUUAAUGCAAAUGUUAGGUCUACAGCUACAUGUUACAAUGUAUAUAUCUAUAAUGUACCAUGUGUUAUAGUGAAAUCUACUGAACGCGAUCAUGGGAAAGGGAUUUAAUAAACCCGUCUAAGCUGAUGACGUUCUUUCUCUUUAAAAACUGGGAGUACCAGUGAGCAGAGAGUUUGGGUUGUCUUCUU
rnacentral:lncRNA from 1 species